UGCAGCAGAGACAUCUCACCAGUCAGUUUUGAUCGAAGGUGGGUUGAAGUUGCUUACACAAACCAAAAUAAGUGAAAUAAACAAGACGGUCCUUGGCUCCAGUUCUAUGAAUCUUUGUUUGAGUGCAGAAGUGUUUGAGUUGUGUGAGCUUCAAACGUCCAAGAAAAUUUCCCAAUAACAAGAACAACCAAUUGAUUUUAUUAUCAUUUCCUGCAGGUAUGAUUGGCUCUACACAUUUUUCUUUAUUGCAAAACUUGCAGUUUAGUAGAGUAGGGUUUGUCCAACAAUUUGGAGCUCUAUCAUGCAUGUUACAUUUUUCUCUUUCAAUGAACUUUAUCAUCUCUUCAAACUUACUCAUUAAGUCAUACUCUAUCUCAUCCUUUCUUUUACAUCUUUUGCAUUUCACUUCCCCUUUGAUUGUGCGUAUGUUGUUUGCUUGAAGAUACUCGAGUUUGUGGAUUAUGGCUCCCUGCUCUGUCGACCACGGAUACGGUGGCUCGAUCCUACUAGUGUCUGCUUGUUUUCUAGUUCGUUUUGGUCUCGGGAGUUCUUCGUUUGGUUCGUUUUGAGUUCGUUUUGUUGGCCGGAUUUCUUCGUCUGCUUCGUUUUGAGUUUGUUGUGUUGACGGUGGUUGUAGCCUAUCAGGUGGCAGAAGAUCAGGAGAUUGCGAUGGUAGAAGGAGAGAGGAUGGAGGGUCGGCUGCAGUUGAAGGAAGGGGAGAAAACUCUAGUGGUCGAUGUUGUGGAGGCGGAGGAUGAGGACGAGGAGGGUGCAACGACAAAUGGAGUGAUAGUGGUGGAGUAAGAGACUGCGUUGGCAAACGGAGAGAGAGUAAAGUCUGAGGUGAGGGAGGAGGAGACUGAAACGGAGGACGGAGAGAGAGCCAUUGGGAAAUGCAUUGGUCACCACUUUCAUCAUUCUCCAUUAUUAUUAUUGUUAUUAGAUAAGAGUUCUAAUCAUGAAAAUAUGAGAAAACAGUUGGUUCUAUUUAUAGAACUAAAAUAUAGAAAAUCCCAAAAGAAAUAGGAAUCAUAAAUUAUUAUAAAUAAGACUAAGAUCUUUUAUCUUUUAUCUUUUAUCUUUUAACAAAUAAUUUAAACAACAAAAUCUUUGUAUCAAACACUUAAUUCAAAUCCUUUCUUUUCAAUUCAAAAAUGAUUUUCGAUAAACUCUUUUAAAGAAUAUAAUAAAAACAAUACUUAAGUAUUUCCAAUUUUAUCUUAUAAUUUGUCAUCUAUUACCUUAUACUUUUUUUAAAAAAAUUGUUAUCUAUGAUGGUCCUAUGCUAAGCAAAAAAAAAAAAAAAAGGUCUCAACUUCAUUUCUGUUCAAUUUCUUGCUGCUUUUAUCUUUUACAGUCUUCCAUAAUCAUGAACUUCCACUCAGUUUUAGAUUAGCUUUGUUUCGAUUGUAACUUAGCUGCAUGAAACAGUCCUGAAUUUCACGGACCAUGAAGUCGACUUGGGGCUAUUUGGCAGAUUGGAAUUUAAUCAAAAUUAAUAAAAUUGAUGGAUAUUAAAAAUAUUUAUGAUCCUCUAUAGAUAUAAACCAUUAGAAUCAAAAUCUUCAAAUUCAAGUAAUAGAAAUUGUUGUAAAGGAGUUCAUGUAAGAGAGCUGAGCACAAAAAGAGGACUUUUUAAAAUAACACCCACUAAACAAAUAACUAAAAUAUAUAAUUGAAUUAAUUUAAACAAUUAAAAGGAUUAUAAUUAAAUAACGUAUUUAUUUUAAUCAAUUACUCUAUGAAAUUAAUAGUAUUGUUUUUUUUCUCCACAUUUUUAAAUACAAAGGUUGAAAACCUUCCUGAUGAGAAUUGUUUGAAGUUCGUAAGAAAUAAUCAAUACGUCACACUCUUAAUUUACAAAUAAUAAAUUUUAAUAUCAAAAUAGUUAAUUAAAUUAGUUAUAUCACAUAUAUAUAUUCUAAAAUACGUAACUUUGAAAUAAAAAUAUCAAAAAAAUUUAAUUAAUAUCUUCUUAGUUUGGUGAAAAGUUAAAUGCAGUUCUUAAUUAUAAUUUUUUUUAAAUUUAAUUAGUUCCUUAAACAUGUGUUUUAAUAUUUUUUCAAUUUUUUUUUUUUGACAACUUUUAUGAAAAACAAAUAAACUAAAAAAUUCAAACCUUUUAGAAAUUCUAAUUCAAGUUAGGAGAAGUGGGGGAUAAAAUUAAGUUGUGCAAAAAAAAAAAAAAAACGAUUAAGUACUGCCCUUGAUUUUGACUAAAAUAUAAUAGUAUAUUUCAUCUCUUUAUUCCUUCUAAUUUAUUAUUUUUCACUUGUUUUCUUCUUCUUCCUUGUUCUUUUCUUUUCUUUUUGUUCAGCCAUUCUUUUCUUCCAUCUCUUUUUUGACAAAAAUCAACCAUGUUUCUUGAGAAGAGGAAACAGAAUUAGCACAAAAUCUUGAGGAAGAUGGGUAUCACAAUGACUAAGACUAAAACUUCAUGAAGCUCACUCGAGGGGAAAGAGCUCCAUCAACAAUCAGAUAACAAUCUGGUGACACAAUAUCGACCUCUGUUGAAGCAAUUGUUGAACCUUUUUGUCAUAAAAAAAUAGAGCUUUCUAGAUUCUAUAAUUCUCUCAAUCCUCUUUUUUCUUUUUAGUUGAAUACUAGUUGGGCUUCUUUUAAGACAAAGAUUACCUGAAAAAACCACCACCGGAUCGGUUUAACAUUUACAAAUAUAGGAAGAAAGAAUCGGUAACCCUUAAUUGAGACAUCAAUUUACAUGUCAAGUUUAGUUGAAUGGAAUUGGCAUGCCUUUCAGAAAUUUUAGUUAAAAACCUUACAAAGCUUAAAUUAAACAAGGAUGCGAUCUCAAAAAUAUUAUAUCAGUGGUAAUAAUAGCACAUCAAAGAAUUGAAAUUAGUUGACCCUUAUGAGCAUAAAUGAAAGUGGAGUUGGGUUAAAAAGAACCAACUGAUGGAAAUACCAAAUUUCCCAUCAUAAAGAGCUGAAAUAAUGCAAACUCCGUCAAUGUUGAGCAAAGGGACCGUAUCCAGAAAAGUGGUAAUUUUAGUUGUCACUACACAUAUCAACCAACAAAAAACAGUUAGAUAUUAAAAUUUCAAGGAGAUCGAACCUGUUCAUCUUCUAAAUCCAUUAAUUUCUGUUCAUACAACUCCAACAACCCAGGAAUCUGCUCCUUAUGAGGGCUGAUGUAUUUUUCUAUGAAACGCUUUUCAGAAGAGUUAAACAACGUAGUAAAAUUCGCGUGCUUCUUAACCAAACCCUUUGACACCAAAGCUUGAUAAACGUAGCCUCUAGGAAUAAUCCUCUUCUUCAAACUAAGUGAAAUUAAAAGUGGUCUUCUAGCAACAAAAAAUGGUUCACAUCCAAUUUUGUUGACAAAAAAACCCAUUACAUCGUUAAUCUUAUCCUCAGAAGCUCUCAUGCCCCAUGGAUUCUUUCUAAAAGAAAAACGGAUCUCUUCUUCAGACAAUCCCCAUUUCCUAUAAACUUCUAACUUCUUAUCCCAUGUAGAUUUGGUCAUUGAUCGCAGAGCAAAAACAGCAACAACAAAUUGCAAUCGUUGAGGGUUGAAUCCCAUUUCCGUAACUCUCUCUACAGCUUCCUUGAAUCGGAUGGAACUUGUCAAGAACAUUUUAGGCUGCCGCUGAAGAUAACUUGAAAUAUUUGAAUCCGGCACUCCAAUUUGUUUCAGAAUUUCAAUAUUGGGACCAACUGAAGUUCGAAGAUCCCAACCGAGAAUACCCGGAAAGCGCUUUAUAGCAGUGAGAGUCUUCUCCUCACUUCCAAGCACGGCUUGAAUGUAAUCAAAGGAUGGAAUAAUUCGUUUGUUUAAACUUCCUGUUAAAACACAAGGAACUGAACAUACGAAUUUGACAAUUUCUGGGGAAGAAAGACCUUUAGAUUGAAAAAACAACAAUUUGGGCGAUAGGAUUUUCUCGGUGUUCAUAGAAAAAAUUUUAGGAUACCUCUUGGCAAGGUCGGAGAUUUGUGAUUCAGAGAAUCCAUGAUUCGCAAGUAACCCAAUCACAGCCUUCGAAUUAUUAUUGAGCUGAACAGGAUUAGAAGGCAAUGAAGCAGAUUUCGGAGAUGAUACAAUCUCAGAAGAGGUGCAUAAGUAUCUGAGAGAUUUCAAUGGACUGUCGGAAAAUCCGUGAGAAAAAGCUGAGGAUGGAGAUCUAAGUAGAAGGAUUGUGCGAAACACGUUAGACAUGAGUGUAAGAAGUGGGAGGAGAAGGAAGACUGACCUGUUGGUUUCUUGUUGAGAAGAAGAAUGGGAGAAACUAGAAAUGCCUCACAAGAGGAUGAAGCAAUGAAAGAAGAGAAAAGAAAAAUGGGGGGCGGGGGAGCAUCGGCGAUGAGCGGAGGGGGAGAGUAGGAGAGAGCAAAGAAAAUAAGAAAAGGAAAGAAAGAGGGGUUAGGGCUUUUGAAGGGAAAUAGUCCAAAAUAGCUUUUUAUGUAAAUUUUAAGAAAUAGCACUCUUUUUAUUUUAUAUUUUAAAAGUAACACUGUUUCAAAAAACUAAUAAUUUAGUUAUUCUUAUCAAAUUUUUAUUUUAUAUUUUAAAAGUAACACUGUUUCAAAAAACUAAUAAUUUAGUUAUUCUUAUCAAAUUUUAAAAAACUUUAUGAAGGAUUUAUCUCGGUCUCUCUCGACUGAGUGCAUCACCAAGAUAGUGUACCUUUUAUUAAAAAUUUGAAAAUGACAUAAUUGCAAAAUAACAUAAUUGCUUUUUUUAAACUCGAGAACAUCUCGAAGCAACUUUAGCCUGAUGUCAUAUUACAUAAAUUUCUUAGCUUAGAACGGACAACUUUGGUUCAUGAUCAAUCACAAAUUUGACCGGAGAGGAGUUAACCUCAAUUUCUAAAUCAUUUAAGUUACAUGAUUUCAACAUAUAUAUAUUAUUUUUGUCAUUCUCAUUAGAAGUUCUUUAGCACACCACACUGAAAGUCGUUUAAAUUGUAGGAGCAAAAUCGUUCACAGUUGAAAAUGAGCAAAAUGUUUGGAAUUUAGUGUUUUCGGAUAAUAUAUAACAUUCGAAACACCAUGGGUAUUUUGGUCAUUUAUAUAUCACUUUGUUUUAAAAAUUUUAAUAAAAGACGCACUAUCUCAGUGUCGCAAUUGGUCGAGAGAGAUCGAGAAAUUUCUUUCAAAUUUGAAAAGAAUCUCAAGGUAGAUCUCGAUCUAAAAUUAUGCUAUUUUUAAAAUAUAAAACUAAAAAAGUGCUGAUUUUGUCAAUUUCCUAUAUAUAUAUAUUCCUUUUAAAAUUAUCCCCCUCUUUUGAAAUCUCAGUAAAAAAAGUUCAAAAAUAAUGUUCUUUUUUUAAAAAAAAAACUAUGAUAAGAAGCAUAUACCUAAAAACGAUAAGACAUAUAAGAGUGAAGCUAAAACUAUCUAAAUGAAGAAUUUCUUUACCACUUCACUAGCAUAUAUUAUUUAUUAACUUCAAAUACUUAAAUGGGUCUACCACACAUUUCAUUAACUAAAAUUUCAUAAAUCUGUGAAAGAAACUCAAAUUUUAAAUAUAAAAACUACAUCAUCAAAAUAGUUAUAUAACGUUAAAAACCUUAUAAAGCUUAAAUUAAACAAGGAAGGACAUCAAAGAAUUGAAAUUAGUCAUAUGAUGCUAAAAGCCUUAUGAGCAUAAAUGAAAUGUGAAGUUGGGUUAAAAAGACCCAACUGAUGGAAGUACCAAAUUUGCCAUCAUAAAGAAGCUGAAAUAAUGCAAACUCCAACAAUGUUGAGCAAAGGGACAAUAUCCAAAUAUGAGGCAAAGCGGUUCUAAAGAAGUCAUUAUUUAGUUAGCAAUCUAAAAACUGAUUAUGUAGAAACACAUUCUCUUUAACAUAUAUAAAUUUUAGUUGCUACUUUGUCACUACACAUUUCAACUAAUAACAAACAGUUUAAUUAUUAACAUUUCAAGAACAUCGAACCUGUUCAUCUUCUAGACUCCACUAAUUUCUGCUCAUACAACUCCAACAAUCCAGGAAUCUGCUCCUUAUGAAGGUUGAUGUAUUUUUCUAUGAAACGCUUUUCAGAAGAGCAAAACAACGAAGUAAAAUUCGCGUUUUUAAUCAAUCCCUUUGACACCAAAACUUGAUAAACAUGGCCUCUAGGCAAAAGCCUCUUCUUCAUACUAAGUGAAACUAAGAUUGGUCUUGUAGCAGCGAAAGAUGAUUUGCAUCCCAUUUUGUUGACAAAAAAAUCCAUUGCACCAUUAAUCUUAUCCUCAGAACCCAUCAUACACCAUGGAUGCCUUCUAAAAGCAGAACAGAUCUGUUCUUCAGACAAUCCCCAUUUCCUAUAAACUUCAACCUUCUUAUCCCAUGUAGAUUUGGUCAUUGCUCGCAGAGCAAAAACAGCAACAAGAAACUGCAAUUGUUGACGGUUGAAUCCCAUUUCCGUAACUCUCUCUACUAUCUCCUUGAAUCGGAUGGGGUUUAUCAAGAAAGUUCUAGGCUGGUACUGAAGAUAUUUUAAAAUAUUUGAAUCGGGCACUCCAAUUUGUUUCAGAAUUUCAAUAUUGGGACCAACUGAAAUUCGAAGAUCCUUCACGAGAACACCCGCAAAGCGCUUUAUGGCAUUGAGAGUCUUCUCCUCAGUUCCAAGCACGGCUUGAAUAUAAUCAAAGGCUGGAAUAAUUCGUUUGUUUAAACUUCCUGUAAAAAAAUUAGGAACUGUACAUACUAUUUUGACAACCUCUGGGGAAGAAAGCCCUUUAGAUUGAAGAAACAACAAUUUGGGCAAUAGAAUUUUCUCGGGGUUCAUAGAAAGAAUUCUAGGAAACCUCAUGGCAAGGUCAGAGAUUUGUGAUUGAGAGAAUCCCUGAUUCUCAAGUAACGCAAUUAGAGCCUUCCCAUUAUUCUCGAGCUGAACAGCAUUAGAAGACAACGAAGCAGAUUUGGGAGAUGAUACAAUCUCAGAAGAGGUGGAUAAGUAUCUGAGAGAUUUGAACGGACUUUGGGAAAAUCCGUGAGAAAAGAGUGAGGAUGGAGAUCUAAGUAGAAGGAUUGUGCGAAAGAAGUUAGACAUGAGUGUAAGAAGUGGGAGGAGAAGGAAGACAGACCUGUUGGUUCCUUGUUGAGAAGAAGAAUGGGAGAAACUAGCAAUGCCUCACAAGAGGAUGAAGCUAUGAGAGAAGAGAAAAGAAAAAUUGGCGACGGCGGGGUAUCGGCGAUCGGCAGAGUGGGAGAGUGAGAGAGUGAGAGAGUGAGAGAGAACAAAGAAAAUGAGAAAAUGAAGGAAGGAAGGGGUUUAGGGUUUUUGAAGGGAAAUGGUCGAAAGUAGAUUUUUUUAAAACCAACCCGUUUCUGAAUACUCGAUAGAAAAAAACAAAAGACAAAGUUGAAGUCUAAUGGGAAAGAAAGUUUUGGACACCAAAUUUUAAAAGGAAGAGUUUUGGGACAAAUGUACAUGUAGAUGUUUAAAUUACCCUUUAGUUUUAAAAAAAAACCUCUAAAAUAUUGAACGCAAUUUCUUUCUCAUGCAACACAUACUAUUCCACGCUGGUGAACUCUCACAGGUGACUCCAUUUAAAAUUUGGUCUCCAAAACUCUAGUCCAAACCAGCUACCAUCUAGAGUUGUAAAUGGUCAAAAACCAAACCAUGUGACUUUAACUGAGGUUUGAAGGAAAAUCUCUGUGCUAAAUCAGUGUAUUUAAUGAUGUUUUGAGUUUAAUGGAGAAUGGACUUGAGUUUUGAGUUCUCUCAGCUGGAAUGAAGAAUCAAAACUUAACAAAUUGUUCAUUUUCUUAAAAAAAAAUCCAUCAUUAAGAAAAAAACCACACUGAUAAAGUUGAAAAAAUCUUGAAAUGAGGCAAAUAAAAGUUGAAAUAACUAAGAAAGAAAAGUUUUUGAAACAACAAUUAGAUUGUUAAAAUUGAGAUUCAAAUUAUAAUUUAUACACCACAAGUAUAUACAUGAGAUUCGACCGCUUUGGACUUCUAAGAUCAACAUGCUACCGAACAUGGAUUAAAGAAGUGUUUGUUCACAAAAAUCCGAAUAAGGUACAACCAUCUUUCUUACAAGCAUUUCAUCAAACACAUUAUGGGCGUAACUUGGAAUUUUCCGUUGUUCGUCACAUUACAACCAACUAAAUACACGAAUUAAGGAUUUCAGUAUAUGAAGAAACCAAUUAUGCAACACCCAUUAACUAACUGUUAAAAUUAAUUGCAAUAACAAAACAAAAAUUCUAAAAUACAAGAAAAGAAAAGAAGAAAAAAUAACCUGGUGUCAAUUAUUGAAAGAGUGGCCGGAAGUUGAAGGUGUGUGUGAACGCUGGGUGCUAAGUCACUGGGCGUGAUGGAUGGGUCACCAUGGGCGUUCGGGUGGUAGGGGCUUCAUGGAGACUUUCUUUGUUCCUGAAAGAUGGAAAGUGAAAAACUAGAGGAGGAGUUGUUCUCUUUUUUUUAAAAAAAAAACGUCUUCAAGAAAUGUUCGGAUGUGAAAAAUAUUUUGAAAAUUCGCCUACUUUUCAUAAAAAUUCUUGACAUUUGCAAAACGUAAAGAAAAUACAUAUUAUUUGACGUUUUUAAAUGUCAAGAAAAGUUCUAGCAUUAAAUUUUUUUCAAAAGAUUACCCAUAUCCGCCUUUUCAUAAAAUCAGUGAUGUUAUUGACCUUUUCAUAAAAUUUGGACAUUUUACCUUUGAAAUCACGAAUUUUUUAAUAUUUUAUUUCUAAAAACGGUCAAAUAUUUAAAUCAUAAACAUUAAGAGAGUCUAUUUUUUUCAAGUAGUAUUGAAAUUUUAAAACAAAAGCUCACAAUCUCGAUGUAGAGAGAAAUUAUGUAAAAACGAUUUUUUAAAAUUUGAGAAGAAUCGCAAUGUCGAGGGACAAAAUAGAUCGAGAUAAACAAAUUUAGUAGCUUUUGAAAAUAUAUGUAAAAGUAAAAGUGUGCUACUCCUCACAAAUUUUCCCAAAAUUUUUCCAUUUAUUUUUAAGAGUUAUCAUAAUGUAGUUUUGAAAAACAUUAUAAAAACAAUUAAGUUAAAAUAAAUUAUUUAAAAUAACAAAGAAAUAUUUCAUAUUAUUUUAUCAGUUACGUCUCUUAUUCUUUGUUAAUAAUUGCAAUUAACCUCUUUUUUAAUUAAGAUAAUUAGACAUUCUAAAAUUAACAAAGGAAAAUCUCUUUCUUCUCUCCAUCCAUCUUCAUCUUCUCUUCCUCUCCCUCUUUUAUGAAAAACAAAUAAACUAAACAAUUCAAACCUUUUACAAAGCAUAACCCUUCACAAUAUAGUAUAUUUCCUCGUCACAACGCUUGUUCUUCUCUCUUCCCUCUUUAUUCUUUUUCUCUCGUUCUCUUCUUCUUCCCUGCUGUUUUCCCUUCUUUUCUUUUCUCUCUCAUAUUUUAUUGCGUUUGAAAUUGACCAAAAUCUACCCAAAAAAAUAUAUGAUUGUUGGUUUAAAAAUUGUUAAUCUUUGAUUCUAAUACUUGUAUAUACAUAUAUAUCUAUUUUAGAUAGCAAAAAAGUGAUAAUGUAGAAACACAGACUCUUGAAUGUAUAUAAAUCUUAGUUCUCACUACACAUAUCAACUAACAAAACAGUUAAACAUUAAAAUUUCAAGGAGAUCGAACCUGUUCAUCUUCUAAAUCCAUUAAUUUCUCUUUAUACAACUCCAACAAUUCAGGAAUCUGCUCCUUAUGAGGGUUGAUGAAUUUGUCUAUGAAAAGGUUUGCAGAAGAGUUAAAAAACAAAGCAAAAUGCGCGUACUUCUUAAUCAAACACUUUGACACCAAAACUUGAUAAACGUAGCCUCUAGGCAAAAUCCUCUUCUUCAAACUAUAUGAAACUAAAGUUGGUGUUCUAGCAACCAAAAAUGGUUCACAUCCCAUUUUGUUGACAAAAAAAUCCAUUGCACCAUUAAUCUUAUCCUCAGAAGCACUCAUACAACGUGGAUUUUUUCUAAAAGCUAAACGGAUCUCUUCUUCAGACAAUCCCCAUUUCCUAUAACCUUCAACCUUCUCAUCCCAUGUAGAUUUGGUCAUUGAUCGCAGAGCAAAAACAGCAACAACAAACUGCAAUCGUUGAGGGUUGAAUCCCAUUUCCGUAACUCUCUCUACAGCCUUCUUGAAUCGGAUGGAACUUGUUAAGAACAUUUUAGGCUGCCGCUGAAGAUAACUUGAAAUAUUUGAAUCCGGCACUCCAAUUUGUUUCAGAAUUUCAAUAUUGGGACCAACUGAAGUUCGAAGAUCCCAACCGAGAAUACCCGGAAAGCGCUUUAUAGCAGUGAGAGUCUUCUCCUCACUUCCAAGCACGGCUUGAAUGUAAUCAAAGGAUGGAAUAAUUCGUUUGUUUAAACUUCCUGUUAAAACACAGGGAACUGAACAUACUAAUUUGACAAUCUCUGGGGAAGAAAGACCUUUAGAUUGAAAAAACAACAAUUUGGGCGAUAGGAUUUUCUCGGGGUUCAUAGAAAUAAUUUGAGGAUACCUCUUGGCAAGGUCAGAGAUUUGUGAUUCAGAGAAUCCAUGAUUCGCAAGUAACCCAAUUACAGCCUUCGAAUUAUUAUUGAGCUGAACAGCAUUAGAAGGCAACGAAGCAGAUUUGGGAGAUGAUACAAUCUCAGAAGAGGUGGAUAAGUAUCUGAGAGAUUUGAACGGACUUUGGGAAAAUCCGUGAGAAAAGAGUGAGGAUGGAGAUCUAAGUAGAAGGAUUGUGCGAAAGAAGUUAGACAUGAGUGUAAGAAGUGGGAGGAGAAGGAAGACAGACCUGUUGGUUCCUUGUUGAGAAGAAGAAUGGGAGAAACUAGCAAUGCCUCACAAGAGGAUGAAGCUAUGAGAGAACAGAAUAGAAAAAUGGGGGGCGGCGGGGCAUCGGCGAUGGGCGGAGUGGGAGACAGAGAGAGGGUUAGGGUUUUUGAAGGGAAAUGGUCGAAAAUAACUUUCUGAAAACUAAUUAAUAAAGGUGAAGCUAAAACUAGCAAAGUACACAGACUUUUUCUCUUUAAUGAAAUUAGCGUUGUACACUCUUCAUGAAUCUUACACCAACAUUCAUCUUGAUUCCCUCUCAAAUCAAUUUGGUGCAAUAUCAAGACUUUGUAAAGCACAAUCAUUAUUAAAAUUAUUUCCAAAAUUAUUUUUAAAAAAACAUAUGUGAAACACAAACAAAUUUGGAAGAAAUUUUAUAAAUCUUGACUGAGAUUAUUCAUCUCCUCGAAUCCAUAUUGAUAAAAUUGUCGAGUUCAUCAAAGGAAACCACUUACGUUAACUUAAAAUAUAGUUUAACAUCUAAUUAGAACCGAAAACCAACUACAUAUUUUUCCAUCCACCUCAGAUUUUACCUAAACUAUGGAAUUGUUCAAAAUAAAUCACAUUUACAUAUUUAAGCUUGAGAAUGACUAUGUUAAAUUUUGGAAGCAAAAAUCAGACAAAUCUCUUCGAUUUUGGGAGCAAACAUGCAACAUCUCAUCCCGAAUGAGUCCAGGAUUUAAGGUUUUGAGAAUAUCUAAUGUUUAAGCUUUCGAGAGUAUUUUGGUCAUUUGAGAAUUUCAUUUAUUUUGAAAUUUUAAUAUUUUCAAUAAAUAAAAAACUCACAAUCCCAUUGACAUUCUAGACCUAGAUGGAUCAAAAAAUUAUUUUAACACAAUUUUUUUCAAUUUGAGAAGAAUCUCAAUGUCGAGGUUAGCUUAAUAAACCUAGAAAAACAAAUUUACAUUUUUUUAAGUGUACUAUUUUUGAAAUGUAAAACUAAAUGUGUGGUAGUUCCCGACAUUUUUCAAUUUAAUUUCUUUUAAGAGUUAUCAAAAUUAUUUGAAAAAGAUUAUAAAAACAAUAAGUUCAAAUAAAUUAUUUAAAAUGACAAAUAAAUAGUUCAUAUUAUUUCACUUUUUAACCACUCCUAAACUAAUUACAAUUAUAUUCUUAAACUUCGGAUUUGAUGAAUUAUUCCUCUUAUAUUUUAUCAAAUAUUUUAAAAUUAACAAAUCAAAAUUUCAUCUCAAAUCUCUUUCUACUCCCUCAACCUUUCCUCUCGCAUCUUCCUCUCCUCUGUUUUUUAUGAAAAACAAAUAAACUAAAAAAUUCAAACCUUUUACAAAUUCUAAUUCAAGUUAGGUGAAGUGGAAGAUAAAAUUAAGUUUUGGAGAAAAAAAAAUGAUUCAAUAUUGCCAUAAAAUUCCAAAGACACUUAGUUAUUUUCUCUUCAUUCUUUAUUCUUCUUCUCUUGUUUUCUUCUUCUUCCUAGUUGUUUUCCUACUUUUUGUUCUCUUUUCUUUCAAUCUUCAUUUUCUUUUAUCUCUCUCAUAUUUUAUUGUGUUUGAAAUCAACCAUGUUUCUUAGGGAAGGGGAAGAUAAAAGAUGAAGAUGCAAAGUGAUGAUGAAGGGAGAAGAAAGAAGUAAGAGAAACGAAUGGAUGCAUGCUUGAUAUUUUGCUGGCUUCGACCAAGCCGAGAUUGAACAAUUUUAUUUUAUCCAUAUUUUGGGACUAAGUUGAUCUCUUGAGUCGGAAAACAUGCGAGGAAGCCUCAUUAAGUUGUUUUGUACGGUUUGGACCUUUACUUAAGCCAACCCAUUUUUUCGAUUCUUGGUAAGUUUUCACUCGUGCCCCGAAUCUAUUGUACUUAAUGUUGUUUGUUGGAUGUCGACUAUGUCCAUUAGAUUAAAAAAUCAUCCAUAACUACUAUGUUUAGUUUUUGUGUCAUCGUCUUAACAACAAAACAAGAUAUAUAAAUAAAAAAAUUUAAACAUAUUUAAAGUAAAAAGAUUAAAUUUUGACCAAUUGAAUGUUUAGUUUAUGGACUAAACAUGAACAUAAUCCAAACUAAUCCACAAUGGAACUGUUCAAUAUGUUGAUUUUUCCCCUCAAAUCUACGUCAAACACCAAUUGGUUGGUUUCCUUUGAUUUUGUAGGGAUGAUAGGCUAAUCAAUCGACUAUGUCAAUGAUCGGUCGAUUUUCGUGUAAUAUUUUCAUCUAUAAUUAUAUAUUCCAUUCAAGUAUUUGUAUUUGCUGCUAGCUCGUAGCCAUGCAAAAGUUAUUAGAUAUUUGAUUUCAAUGGAUAUUAUUAUUAAUCUAUAAAUUGAUAGCUAAAACAUAGAAUAUAAUUCUCCAUCUUUGGACAUGUUGUCAUUGUGUAUUAUGAUCAUAUGCUUAGAGUUAAAGCAAAGGAUUAGGCAAUUAAAUCAUAUUGCAAAUAUAUAACGCAUGAACUUCUUCAUCUUCUCCUUCUCCAAACUAAUCCAAACAUUAACACUACCUCUACUCCUCCCUCCGCCGCUCUCUCCGCCGUUCGCAGGAGAAAGUAACAACACAAACUCAUCAUUCCCGUUGGCCACUGGACUAACAUGAACCGGUUUUCCAAACCCAAAAUCUAAUUCCUUAAACGGCAACUUCCACCAAGCCGAAACAUAAAAACUCUUCCCAUUACAAGUCGCCGGAAUCCCUCUAUAAACCUCAAGCCAAUCAAUCGCCGAUCUCACAUACUCCUCCCCCGAUACCCUCUCAAUCCCUUCCUUCACCCUCUCCACACAAAACGAAAACGGCCGUUCCACCACUUCCGCCGCACGCGCCGCCGCAAACCCAGUAACCACAGCGUUUCCAACGAAACCAUCUGGGAGAACCGGACGGAUCUUGGACCGGACAUCAACCGCAAACAAAACCAUGGAGGUUUCGCCUGGGCGGUCCGAGUAGACCGCGCGGGUCCUGGCGCGCCACAGCUGGGACAGAAUGGCUUCGAAGGUGGAGCAGGGGAUGGGAGCAGCGGCGUUCUUGAGAGUGGCGAUGGUGGAGGGGGUGAAGGGAAUGAGGGAGUGGAGGUGGUUGGAGGCGGACAUGGGCGGCGAUGGGGUAGGGGAGGGUUUAUUGAGGGCGGUGAAGGAGGAGGGGAGUUGUUUUAGGGUUGGGGAAAAUGGGGUGUACUCUUGGUGGGGAUGUGAAAUAAGAGGAGGAUUUCGAGCUCUGAAAAUUGUUCUGUCGUUAAAAAUGGUUUGGGGUUUCAGGUCGCCGCCGCCGCGACAUAUUGAUGCGAGGUUUUGGAACAUCUCCGCCGCGGAUUUGCCGUCCAAAACGCCGUGGUUUGUUACCAUGCCGAUUGCAUACCCUCCGCACACAAACUCCGUAACCUGUACCAUGUGUACAAUUACAAACAAGUUUUAUGGGUUGAAGAUAAAUAUCAAUAUUUUGCUUCAAGAAAAAUGUGAUAUAAUGUACCAUCUAUCUAUGUUUUGUCACCAUCCAUUACUUUCUUGUAUACAGAAAUCCAAUGAGUGAAGUGAAUAUUAUUCUAAUCAAAUCAAUUUCAUUCAACAGUUUUUCGCCACAUACCUGAACAGUAAACAGAGCUCUUUCAUGGAGGUUUGUGUGGAGUCCAGGCCGAUGAACAAACCGACCAAAACUCGGAUUCGGAAGCGACAAAUCCCCAAGAUCCCUCAUCCUCACCUUCGAUUUCGCAUUCACAAACACAACACCGGCAUUAUUACAAGCCAGCUCCAACCGCCCGCUCUCCCGGUUCGUCUGAAAUCGACCGGCCAAGAAAUAGUACGGAACCAAAAGAAUCGCCAACGCUCUCUUCACAAUCCUCGACAUCUCCGCCGCCGAACCGUCCUCAAAGAAGUACACGGUUUCCACAGUGAAGGCCACCGCCACAUCGAUGUUCGACAGGAAGAUCGUCUCCUCCGGCGUUGGAUUGGAUGGAGAGAGGAGUUUCUGAGGCUCGUCUUUGAGUAUGUCUUCGUCGGAUAUGGAGAGAGGAGAGACGGCCAUGGCGAUUAAUUUGAUGCUGAUUGAGAGGGAGAAGGAAUUGGAGAGAGGUGAAAUCCAUGGCGGAUUUAGGAAUUUUAAGAGAUAAAAUUGCGAUUUAUUUGGAGCAUGAGAGUUUCGUUGCUUUCGAUUCUUUAGCGCGGGCGUGAAAGAACAUGUUCAUUUCUCGUCGGAGACGGGAGAGGAGGUAAUUUGGUGGCGCCCGUCCGUCGUGCGGGAAGUAUACCCGUGCGGAUCCCAUGUAUGAAUUAAAAGUUUAAAGGACAGUUUUGUAAUUUAAUGUAGGCCCAAUUAAUAAUUGGGCCUAUCUAUCUCUUAUUAAAGCCCAGGGAUCCUAUUAGUCGGGCGAAUCCGGUUUGAAUUUAUUUAUAAAUAUUUGUCGGCAAACUUAUUUUUUUUCUUUCAUAAUAAAUAAUAAUAAUUAUUUAUUCAAAACUAAAAAUGUAGAAUAAAAUGUUUUUUUUUCUCUUUUGAAGAAAGACCAAUACUUUAAGUUGUGCCCUUUUUGUUGGAAUUUUAGAGUUAUAAAAGUAUUUUAUAGUUUGAGAAGUGGAAUUUCAUAAGUAUGAAAUUUUGUUGGUUUAUACCAAACUCGUAAUUGUGUGAGUUCUUAAUUACGUCUUUUAGUGAUUUUACACUACUUCACUUAUCUGGUUCUAAAAUCAGUCAAUCUAGUCUUAAAUCAUUGGACUUUGAGAAUGAAGAAAGCCUAUCGUCUAUAUUCGUGGUUUGGAAACUAAGUAGAUAAUAAGAAUCAUACCCUCUCCUUUUCCUAUUAGAAUUUAAACUCAUACUCUACCCUAUAUGGAUCCCUACCUUUCUAUAGUUUUUUUUUUCUUUUUUUUGUUAAUACGGGGAAGUAGCUCAAACAAAUCCAAUUGAAAGAUAAUGCUAGAUCUCAUGACUUCGAAUGUCUCCUUUUAUGGAACCCCUAUAGUGUCUAUUUACAGGAAAAACAUAACUCAAACUAGAGUCAUUUCAACCUUUGAUAAACAUGAUCUCGCACAAUUAGAGUCGUCAAAAUUUAGAAAGCAUAUUCGUUGACACCUCCUAUUGAGGUAAGAGAGUCCAACCCCAAAAAAAUUGGAUAGAGACGGAUUUAAAUGUUGGCUAGAUAAGCAUCCUAUAAUAAGAGGAGUAGUUAUAAACCUAUAUACCCACAUACUCAAGUAUUCGAGUUUGUGUGACGAACACCGGACUGGUGUACAAAUAUUUCUCAUCUUGUAGUUCACAUUACUUCCUAAAUGGUAGAUUUAUCAUUGUUGUCAUGUGAAUGAUAUAUGCAUUUUCUCCUCUCUGUAUUUUGGCACCAAUUAAUUAUGCUUUUUUUUUUUUUACUAAAUCCACCCAAAAACAGUUUAGAAAAUUAAUUAUGUGUUUGAAUUACAUUUUCAAGUGUUUAAUUUUUUUUAAAAAAAAACUAAACUAUUGGAAGCCACUUCAAAUAUAAUUUUAAGUGUAUCUAACAAAUUUUUAAUUCAAUCCAAACGAAACAAAUUAACCUAACUAUUUGUGUUAAAUUUUUACUCAUACUUCGAGCAAAUAAAAGAAUUUAUUAGAAAUACAAUCAAAGUCCAACAUUUAUUUAAACAACUAUUAAAACAAAAGAAUUUUAUAAAAAUGUCAACAAAUUGAUCUUCUCAUUAAUAUAUUUCACGUUUUUAAAUUAACAGAUUUGCUAUUCAUAUUAUAUUCACAUUAUGAUUUUACAUAUAUCUGGUGAUGUGAAUUAUGAAAAUAUUAAUGAAAUGUAAACAACGGGUUGAUUUAUAGUUUUAAUUUUCUUAAAUGUAAGCAAGUGAAAAUUAAAUUAAACACACCUUGUUAUAAGAGUUAUACUAUUGAUAUCACGAUUGUUUUGAGUAUGUAAUUGACGUGUAAUUGUUCUAAGUUUUAUUGUUGUCUCGUUGAUGAAUCUCAACUUUGUUUGACAUUCGAGUAAUGGUCUAUUGACUCAAAUAUUGCAUGGUUGUCCUAUGACACCUUUCUAAAAAAUACGACUUGACCUAAAUUGGUUAUUAAGAAGUAGUUGGAUGAGUUAGACAUAUUUGACCAUAUUUUAGGGUUAUUUGAUAAUUUUUGUAACAUUUUAAUCUUCAAAACUUUUAAUUUCUAAUAAUAAUUUGGUCUCUUAUUUGGUAAGAAUUUCGUCUUUUUAGUAUUAGCAAUUUCUUCUCCAUUUUUUACCAUAAUUAAUAUAUUUCUCAUACACAAAAGUUGAAUUCUUAGUCAAAUAUUUUUUUAAAGAAUGGUUGCAAAUAUAACAAUUAGAUUCAAAUUAAUUAAAUAUGUAGCAACAUUUUAAAAAAAUUGUUAAUAUAGCAAGAUUAGCAAAUAUUAUCCAUAAUAGAAGUCUAUCAUUGGUAGGCUAUGUUGCAAAUAUGAAUCUAUUAUUGAUAAAUCAUACGAGUCCAUCAACGAUAGAAGUUUAUCGCCUAUAGACUUUGCUAUAUUUGCAAUUUAAAAAUAAACUUUGUUAUAUACUUAAUUAUUAUUCCUAAAAUUGCUACCUAUUAUAAUUAUUAUUAUUUUUUAUUUUAAACUAACGACCCAUUUCAAUAUAAUAUGUUUCUUUGUUUUUUAAAUCGAUACCUAUAAACACUCAUUUUACAUUUAAAUUUCUUAGUUUGUAAUAUGCUUCUUACCAAUAUGUUCAAAAAUCACGUCAACUUUUGAAAACUAAAGAAAUUUUUUUUUUUUUAGAAUUUAAGUAAGAUUUAAACUAUUUGAGUCAAGAAGGAUACAUACUAUUACUAUAUUAUAUUACAAGAGAAAAUAUACUUACUUGAAAAAAAAUUAAAAAACAAAAUGUGUAGCUAUUUCUGUUUUUAGUUUUUAAGUUUUUAAAAUUUUGAAUGAUUAAUUGUAGUUUUAUUUUUCUUUUAAUAAAUGAUUUCCAAAUAUGGAUUAGUUAUUGAAUAUUAUUCUUUAACAAUUUAAACCACACACUUUUAACACUUAGUAACAAUUUAAUCCUUACCAUUCAAAUCAUUAUGUUUUAUGACUUUAUUGAGUUUUUUUCUUUUGUAGAUAUAUGAAUUGGUAAAUUGGUUAAAAACAAAGUAUAUUUAUAACACAAAAGGCUUAGUCAUAUUUAAUAAAAUCCAACACUAACUUUUACGAUAAAUAUCAAAUUAUUAUAUAAUUUAGAUAUCGACAUUUAUAUCUUUGAUUCAUUAUAGUCUUUGUACUAUCAAAAUACUUUUUUUUCUCGUUCAUAUAAAUUUAGCUCGUUUAUUUUGUCUUAUAAAAAGGAAUUAUAAUGGUGAACAAACGUAAACUUUGUACCAAAUUAAAAUGAUGGUUACAUCUUGAAUAUUUCUGUAAAUAAAAUAUCACGUUAAAACUUUUAUCCAUAAACUUAGAUAAAAACAAAGAUAUAGAAACUACAAUAAUCACUUUUAAAAGUAGAAACAUGAAAGUGUAUAUAUAAAUACAUAUUUCUAAGGUACAAACAACAAAAUAAAUAAAAGAAAAACAAAUAAAAAAUUACAAAAAUUAAAAUAUUUAUAGUUAUUAUUAUACAUAUUAUUAUUUGGUAAGAAAAAGUAGUAUUCAAACCAUUAAACCGAGAAGGAAAAAGAAAAAGUUGUUACCAAUAUUACCCCUAAAUCCAAUCUUUAUUUUAUCCAAAAGCCAAAUCAUUCAACAUCUCCAAACAUUUGACUCCCCCACCAUAAAUAAAUAUAAAAUAAACAUUUCUUCAAAUAAUAUUUUAUAAAAAAGAGACUUUUUCUUAAAUAAUAAAUAAUUUUAAAUAUUUACAAAAUGCAGUAAAUUUUUUUAAUUCUAUCCAUUGUAAUAGUGAUGUCCUUCUGGGAUUGAUUAUCAAAUAUCAUUUAUUGAAGAAUAUCACUUACAAAUUUUUAUUAUUGAUAUAAUUUGAAAUUUGAUGUUCUAUUUUUGACAAUUAUUUUAUAAAAGAUCAAAAAAAUGUUUAAAAAAUAUCUUUUAGAAUGGUGUUUUUAUUUUUAAAAUUUGAGUAAGAAUUUGGAUGUUAUUUUAAAAAAAUAAGUAAGUUAUUGUAAUAUUCUUUAUAUUUAAUUUUCAAAAUGGAAAACAAAAACGAAAUAAUAAUAUUUACAGGAACAUUAUUUUAACUUUUAAAAAUUAAAUAAAUACAUAGCGAAAACCCAAUUGAGUAAUUUCCACCCAAUUUUCAUUCUCAAAAAACAAAAUAAAAGAAAUCCAAAACCAUUAAAAAUAAAAAGCCAAACUCACACACCACGCACCACACCGCGAGUGCACCAACACCCCUCCGCCGCCCGCCACAUAUAACCCAAAAAAGCAAAAUCCCGCCGCAACACGCACUCCGAUACAACGUGUCGAUAUCCAAUUCGGAAGUCACAUCAUCUCCAGUACACCUUUCCGUAGAUAAUCCAGUCGGCGCCACCGACGUGAUCUCCACGUGCCACACGACUCGCCGUCGCCAGCGCCGUCACACCACGCGCCAACCACCCCGCGUACAAAAUACUCUUCUCCCGUUCCUCAAAACGGACCUCACCCCCCCCCCCCCCGUCCCUCUCUCUCUCUCUCUAUAAUAAGCCCUCUCUUUCUAUCUCUCAAAGCACAUAAACAAGUUCGCUUUAUUUUUAUUUUUAUUUCUUCUUCUUCUUCUUCUUCUUCAUAUAUUAUUCAUCCCCAUUUUUCUUCGGCUUUUCAAUUCUGUAUUUCUCGCCAUGAAAGCGUAGCUUUGUGUUAAACUAAGGUACAACUCUUCUUCUUUACGACUAUAUAUGUACGAGUAUUUUCAUUUUAUACUGUAUUAACUACUCCUAUACAUGAUUUUCGUUUUUUUUUUUUUUUCCUUUUCAUGUUUGUUGUUGUUGUUGUUGUUAUUAUUAUUAUUAUUAUUCUCUAUCGUAAUUCGAUUUUGUUUAUGGAUUGAACAAACUCCAGGGAUCCUCUUUUGUUUUUGUGAGUUUUUUUCGUUGUUACAAUUACAAUAUAUGGUUUCGCUUCUUUAAGGAAGAAAUAACUUCAUGUCGGGUUUUUGAAUUUUCUUCGAUUUUUCUUCUUAGUGUUAACCACAGCUUUUUAGGUGUUUUCUUCAUUUGAUUAACUUUAAUUUUCUUAGAUCACAUUGAGAUAAUCUCUCAGAACGUAAUUUCUCGAGUAUUUUUCGCUUGUUCUAACCGAGUUGUUUGUUUACUGGUUCUAUCUGUGAUUAGUGGUUUUUUUUUUAUAUUGAAGUUUCGAGUGGAGCUGCUUUUUAAGUCUGUUAAUGUGGGGACGUUUGGUUGUUUCAAUUCUUUUUUUUUUUUUUUUGGGUUCAAAAUAUGGAUCUGGAUAUGAUUGCGGUUAAUUGAGUUUGGAGUACUAUUGCUCUUUUCUUCCUUUACUUGCAAGGGAUUUUUCUUUCUUUCUUUUUUUAAAAGAAAAAAUGUAUGUAUUUAUCUUUCUAUAAUGUCUUCUUUGUUUAAUUUGGAAGAUUUAGAACGCUGUUUUUGUAUCUUAUAUGAUUGGUUGAAUAUGAUUUGUAAUGGUAAGUGUUGACAGGAUAUUUUCUGUGUUCUGAAAUAUCAACUUGAGAAUUCGAUCUGGGUUUUUCUUUGCGUUGGGUUUAGCAUUUGGAAUAUGUUCCUUGCAAAUACUUUUUUAAUUAGUUGGGGCGGAUCUAUUUGGUUGCUAAUGAACGUUUUAUGUUUGUGUUUGGAUGCUCACUCUUCUCUUAAAGGCCAGACGAGAGUGAAUAAUUUACUUGCUGUACAUAAUGUAUAGGUUGGAAAGUUCUUGGCUUCAUUCGUAGUAAAUGUAGACUGUUCGUUAUAUUUGUUAAAAUUCGUUCACUACAUUUGUUAAAAUUCAAGAUGAGUUGUGGGGAAACUUAUGGUAACUGUACUUGUACCAUCAAUAUCUUUAUUCAUUACAUCGAGGUUUUUAUCCUCUGGUAUUAACAUGCGAUUUUUAAUUGGUUUUUCUGGUGUGUUUUCAGGAAAAGUAGACGUUUUUAUUUUCAUAUUUUGCCUAUAAUUGUAAAAUAUGCUUGUUAAUUGCAUAAUACGAUUAUUUUUGGAAAUCAAACUUUUAAUGUUCCUGAGAAGGAUACCUGAAAUUCUAAUGCAAAUGCAUGAUUGAAGAUUAACUCUUUUAAUACUUGAUAAAAUCUUGCAAGGUUAGUGCUUCUUGAUAUGAUAACUUUAGAAUUAGUUAAAAAGAUAUGCUCAAGUGGUUGUCAUGUUGUGAAUGGCUUUUGCAGAUGGAUGUAGUUCAAAUAAAAAACCAAGAUACUUGCUGCGAAGAUAUGUCACCCGACCAGUCUGUUUCUCCACAGAUUUCUAGUACAUGGGCUGACUUUAGAGAACCUGAGGCUCAUCCUCGAAUUGGGGAUGAAUACCAGGCAAUAAUUCCCCCUCUUGUGGUCAAAUCAGAUGAUCUUGGGCUUUUGAAAAGUGAAGCUGGUGGUCUGCGUGAUAUUUACGUUGGAUUUCCUGCACCAGAAGCAGGUAUAGAUGAUGUUGAGAUUCUGAAACAGAAGCAACAUAAUGGGAAUGAUAAUAUUGUUCUGGCAUCAAACCAAAGUGAACAUGCAGCCGUGUCUGAAAUGCAGGAUGUUCCAGAAGCUCGAGAGGUUAAAUCAUCCGAUGCCAUGGCAAAUAAGGAUUUGGAAUAUGCAACAAAUUUUCUGUUGCAACAAGAAAUGAAGAUGAAAAUGAAAGAAAGCAAUGCUGACAAUGACCAAUGGUUGGCUUCUGAUUCCUUGAAUGAUUCGUCGAGUGACAUAGAAAUGGCCAGUCUUCUCCUUGGAUUAUACAUUUUUGGGAAGAACCUCAUUCAGGUGAAGAAAUUUGUUGGAACUAAACAGAUGGGGGAUAUUCUCUCAUUUUAUUAUGGGAAAUUUUACGGAUCCGACAAAUACCGUAGAUGGACAGCAUGUCGUAAAGCAAGAGGCAAGAGAUGUAUAUGUGGACAGAAGUUAUUUACUGGCUGGAGGCAACAGGAGUUGUCAUCUCGCUUGCUUUCCUCAUUAUCAGAGGAAAAGAAAAAUACCGUAGUGGAGGUAGAGUUCAAUUUUUACUUCAUGCUAGAUUAUAUAACAACCGAUCCUCACAUUGGCAACCUCAUCAAUGUAAAAGAGUUCAGAAAUUUAUAGAUUACCCGCAGUGAAACUACCACAUGCUUUUGUACAUAGUUAUUUAGAGUCAGCUGAAGUUGUCCUGCCCACAUUUUCCUAAAGAAUGCAGAACUAACACCCCGAUUUUUCAGCGCAAAGAUAGACACAUUACAUUUCCAUGUAGUUUGCUAACUUGAACACUUAGAUCCAUGUUCCUAUCGAAGCAAGACACUAUAUAUUGUUGUUCUUCUUCAGUUUCACUAACAUUUUGUAUACUCUCAGCCUCAAUAACUUAUUCACUGUUGUGAAGUAUAUUGUGCCAAUAUUUUUUCUUUAACAUUUUGACUUAUGGUCAAAGAGAUUGUUCAGUCGGCGAAGGGCUUUAUCUCGAUUUUCUAUCCUGCAUUUAUUACCUAAUUCCUAUCAUUAGCGAUAGCUGAUGCAUUUUGUUUCCCUAGAUCUCAAGUUUUGAUGUAUUGACAGGUUUGUAGGGGAUUUAUUGAGGGUAAAAUACUGCUGGAGGAAUAUGUAUUCUCUUUGAAAGCUACAGUUGGGUUGAAUGCCCUUGUAGAGGCCGUUGGAAUUGGUAAAGGAAAACAAGAUCUUACCAGCACCACCAUGGAUCCAAUUAAGUCUAAUCAUGCUCAUCCUGCCCGGCCGGAAAUACCAGUUGGUAAAGCAUGUUCGACACUUACACCUGUUGAAAUUGUCAAAUUUCUUACUGGAGAUUUCAGGUUGAGCAAAGCACGAUCAAGUGAUCUCUUUUGGGAAGCUGUUUGGCCUCGUUUGUUAGCAAAAGGGUGGCAUUCCGAGCAGGCUAACAAUUAUGGUAGUACUGUUGGUUUAAAGCAUGCUUUGGUAUUCCUGAUCCCUGGUGUGAAAAAAUAUUGCCGAAGAAAACAAGUUAAGGGAGAACAUUACUUUGAUUCAGUCAGUGAUGUCCUAAAUAAGGUUGCUUCAGACCCUGGGCUUCUUGAACUUGACAAUGUUGUAGAAAAACAGUGCAGUGACAAGGAAGAGUGCGAGUUGAGUGGCAAAAUAAAACAGGACCAGGAAGAUUUCCCUAGUCAGCAACGUUAUUGCUAUCUUAAGCCACGAACUCCCGUUCAUAUUAUGGAUACAAUCAAAUUUAUGGUUGUUGAUACAAGUUUGGCUGAUGGAAGCACAUUCAAGAUCCGUGAACUACAAAGUUUGCCAGUUGAGAUUACAAAUAAAUAUGUUUCCAAAAGUCAUUCCGAAGAGGAUGAGCAAAUUUCUUCAGAGAUUUCAAUGGAUGAUACUCAUUCUGAUAAUACUAUGCAUUUUGAUAAGGAAGUAAGUGACACUUCCAAAGGCACCAGAAUCAGCUUGGACAAAAAAGUUUAUAUUGAUGAGGAAACUUGUGUAGGAAAUUCUUCAAAUAAAGAGUCUUCAAAUGAUGGCCUAGAUGGCCUACAUUCUACCAGUAUAAGCAUGGAAGUUCAGGAGGAUAAACAAUCUUUAUUGGACAACACACAACAAAGUGAUAUUGUUCUGGACCAAAUGAGCGAGGGAAAACCCAAAUCUGAAAUUGACUCCACCGAUUAUACCAAACCAAGUUGGGAAUUAAACACUUGCACUGAACAAGUAAGCUGCAAUGUAAUUAAAAUCUUCGCUGAUCCUGAACUGAAAGAGGAGGACAGUUCAUCCGAUCAUUAUGAUUUAAACCAUAAUAUUCUCCUUCAAGUUGAUUCGUCGAAGGAGAAUUUGCCUUGGUCUUCUUUAUCCAGGAGCAGUACAAUUACUAGUUAUGGUGAUGUCCUUAAUGUUGUUGAAGUUCCACAAAGUAGACAUGUACCUCAUACUUUUAUUGACCUUAAUUUGCCUAUUCCUCAAGAUUCCGACAGCCAUGGAAGCUCCACCACGGAAACAAAAGGACAGAAAAAUAUACCAAACAAGUGUUCUGAAAGCCUCGACAUCUCAGAUCGUGACUCCACCAUGAUUUCUCGAAGACAAAGUAAUCGAAAUCGACCUCCAACAACUAGAGCUCUGGAAGCUCAUGCUUUAGGACUAUUGGAUGUAAAACAGAAGCGGAAGAGUAAGGACGUCUUUCUAGAGGAGAAUUGUAUUUUGCGACCUUCCCAGCACGCUCAUUCAAAGGCGAGACACACGGAUAAGUUUGGGAAUGGCAUUGUGGAUUUCCAACUAGAGGACAGAGAAAGUAAUGUCAGCGAUGACAAUGGUAACAUGUUCCAUAAGCUGGAAGUUUAACUUAACAUUGAAAUCUCCAUGACCUGGUUUCCUAAACUGGUAAAGGUGCCUUAGUGCGUACUUUUGCACGAGAACGAAGGUUACUUUGUAAUCAUAUCCAUCUGAAACUAAACUAUCAAAGUGUUAUGGUGGAGCAGAAACUCUGAUGACUGCCGUCUUCUCUCAUCCUCCACGUUCAAGCAGUGUGUUUCACUUCAUAACUGUAGCAGUUCUCUGUGGAAAUUCAGAAACUAAGCUCCUUUACCCUGUGAACUUGAAUUAGUUGCUUCUCUUAAAUCAUUUUUUGCUGCCGAGUUCGAUUACUCUUCGAUGUUUCUCUUCGGUCGUUCGAAUCUUGGACUCUCCUUGUGUUUUGCACCUGUACAGUGUCCAGUGGUGAUAGUAAAACAUGUCACAUGAGUUAUGACUUCAUCUUCCCAUCCACAGAAAGAUGGCUGAGCCUUGUGCUAUGCUCCAUCGGCCCAUCUAUGGCGAAUGUAAAUACACACAAAGGUCAGAAUCCAUAAGGUUGCCGUAUCUGUUCUUUUUCACUGCAUACAGAUCAAACGGGUAAUGUUAGUGUAUUUAUUUGUCUUUGAAAAACAAAAAGAUUAGACAAAGAAACAAACAUAUAUGUGGAUUAACUUAAACGCAAUUACUAAUGUGUUAAACUAUUAGGAUUUCGCAUGAUUUGAAUUGGUUUGUGGUCAUAUCAUUAAUCCAGUCCCUGUGCUUAAAAGUCGAACUUAGUCCCUACUAGAAUUUAGGUAGGAACUCAUUGCGAUGAUUUUAUCAAACUAGAUGGACUAUUUAUGACACCGUAUCAAACUACGAUGAUCUAAAUUCUGGACCAAACUUGUAAUUUCACCCAAGUUUGCUGCCCAUUUAUUCUUUACUAAAAUUCUUAUUUGUAUGAUAUCUUUGUUAAGUAGUUACAAACUAUAUUUCUUUUAAAAGUUUUACUUAGCCAGUAGUUAGUACUUAUACACACACACACAUACAUAGAGUUUUUGUAAUGUUGAAGAUUCAGUACGAUAUGUUUACAUUGCAUGGUUACCAAAUACCAAUAAGGCCAAAUUUUGGUGAAAGUCUUUGUCAUCUCUUAAUUCUUUUUUGUUUUGGAAUUGGUAUCAUAUAUGUUUGUGAGCACUUAAAUACAUCUUUUAAUUAUUGUUAUUAUUAUUGAUAACAUGCGAGAGAGAAAACUGAACCUCCAGUUUUGUAGUUGAUAUUACAAUCAAGAACUAUUCUCAUCUUGACUUUCCAUUCAUGAAGACUAAUAAGAGAUUUACUAAUAUAUUUUGCCAACUACAUAAUAUUUAUAUCCCUAUCUAUUAUAAUUAAUACUUAGAAGAAUAUUUGUUUUUUAUUUGACAAUAUAUUUGAGGUGGAGAAUCGAAUCUCACACUUUGAGAUUAUUGAUACAAGUUCAUGCUAGUUGAACUAUGUUCAUGUUGACAGACUAGUUGAUUCAAUUCCUUAUAAAAAUAUUUACUAAAUACCAAAACGACAUCGUUCUAAUUCAACGUAUAAAAAAAUACAUCAACAAUAAGAUUGGAUAAUCUAAUUAGAUCAAUCAAAUGAAAAUUUUCUACCAUUUCCUCAAAAUGAGCUUAGGUUAUUGCUAAUUGACUUGACUUCAUCAUCUCCAUAAUUAUUAUACUAAAAAAAGUUUCCCACCACCUUAAAAAAAAAAGCCUUAAAAUGGUUGACAACUUAUAUGUAUUUUAGAUGGUUCGUUAACCAACAUGACAAAAAUUAAGUUGAAUAUUUUGUUUAGUUACAAUAAUUUAAUUGGAAGUGAUGUACAUCACCUCCUACAUCUUUAUUUGGUUAUAGAUUUAAUAACCAAAUGGAUAUAAAGAAAUUCAAUCUACAUAUAAAGUUUGUAAUUAAGUUUAUUACAAACUUUUAUAAGUGCUCAUGUCUUUUAUUAUUAUUUUUUAGGGAACUAUCGUUACUUUCUAUUUUGGUAAAAAGAAAUAAACAAAUUCUUUCAUGUUGUUGAGGUGAUAAUAUUAAUGUAUAUUAUUAGCUGUGAAUGGAAUUCGUUCUCAGAAGCUUCCAAUCAAAUGUUAUUUCAUACAAUAUCUCUAAAUUAUUUCUUUAUUAUAAUGUUUCUUUUCCCUUUUGAAGGUUUCCAAUGUCAACACUUUUCCUUUACAAAGAAAAGAAAAACUUGAAUGUGACUUAGGAGUUGUCUAUUUUUUACAUGUUAAUAAAAUGUUCGAUAAAUGUCACGUGAUAAAUUUUACGUUUUUCUAUAAAUAUUAUAACGUUUUUUGGAUAAGUAAAUCAAUUUUAAACUUAUGCUUUAUAACACACUUUAAUUUAGUCAUUUAUCAACCUAACGGACAGUUUAAUAAAUAUAAAUAUAGUGAUAUCUUUUUUAAAAAGAAAAUUUAUUUUAAAAUUAAUAAUAUUUUGUAAAUAUUUGUUAUAUUUAAAAGUAACCUUUAAAAAAUUAGAAAAAGGUUUAGUUGGAAAAAUUUGAUGAGAGGGAAAGUUUAUGAGUAUUUAAAUAAUAAUAUGCUUUAGUUUAUUGCAAAGUUAAAAAUUUUAUAGUAUAGAUUUGUACAUUUUUAUAUGAUAAUUGUAUGUUUAUUUAGUUGAGAUUUUAUUGGUAUGAAUCAUAAUUAAUCAUAAGGACUUAGGUGGGAGGGAGGACCAAUUCUUUUUUGACAUCUCAAUAACUAUGUUUCAAAAAUUCCAAUCUAUUUCAUUUCAUAUUUCCUUUUAGAAUUUAUUGCAUUUUCUUUUAUUUUCUUUCUUCUUCAUUUUUUUAAAAAAAAAUCAAAUUAAAGAGGUAACCACACCCAUAUUUAUAUUCAAAGAGAUUUAUCAUAAUAGAUUAAAAGAAUCCCUUUUCUUCUUUCAUUUGUCAAUUAUCGUCAAAUUUUUAUCAAUUAAAUUAGGCUUUCGUUCAAUAUUAUGAAAUUGAAAUGCUUGUUGAGCCAAAAUCCUUUAAUUACACUUUCACCGAUCAUGAUAAUAACGACAUUUACCUAAUUUUAAUUAAAACCUACUCAUCCAUUUACUAAGAUAGACCAGACCAAUAAAGGAAAAGAGUCAACAAAAAUAAAAAGAGAGAAAAAUAAAUAGGCAAACAAAUUAUAGGACAAUUACACCUAAUAUUAUCAUUUUUCUUUUUCUAAAUUUAUUAAUCUUUACCAAAUAUUAUAUAAAAUCUUACCAGUUUAUCUUAGUAAAUCUCUAAGAAAUAAAUAUGGAUUCAAUUAUAUUUUUUGUUAGUAACCAAGUUCUAAAAACAAAAUAAGUUUUUAAAACAUAGUUUUUUAGUUUUCAAAUUUUAAUUUGACUUUUUAAAAUUAUUUGUAAAAUCAAAAUUGGGAGUAGAAGUUGUGUUUACAGGGAUUCAAAAAUUUCUUUCUAAUGGUUAGGGAGAAAUUGAAGUUUGUAAAGAACACAUUAGGGAAUUAAAAUUAGGUUAGGGAGAAAUUGAAGUUUGUAAUUUAUCUAAACCCAAAUAAAAAUGAAAAGAAACCGACCGGUGUGGGAAUUUCCGAGAACCAUCCGGAGAAUGAAUAAACCGGUUCAUCAUUGACCUAAGAAUCUUCAUAUAUAUUAUUCAUACCUUCCUGUGAAGAAACCCAAAUUAUAAUCUAAACCUGACUCUGCCACGUCUCUCCGCUCAUCUCUCUCAACCUCCCGAUUCUCCGACCUUUGAUUCUCUUUCUUUUUCCCUUCCCAAUUUAAGAAAAAAUAUCUCCCAAUAUGGAAAGAUCUAUGGAGAUCAAGGUCGUAUCCGCCAGGGAUCUCAACAACGUCAAUCUCCUCAUGAAAAUGGACGUUUACGUCCUCGUCAAACUCCUCGUCACCGACAUCUCCGGUAAAUCCAAGCCUAAAUCCGCACAGAAAUUCAUGACUCCUGUCGAUAAGGAAGGCGGAAGUAACCCAAUUUGGAAUUUCUCCGUUAAAUUUUCUGUUGAUGAAGCCGCCGUUAGGGCAAACUGUCUUACCCUCGUUUUUAAACUCCGAUGCCAACGGAAUCUCGGCGAUAGAGAUAUCGGCGAGGUCUAUGUUCCGGUAAAAGAGCUUCUAGAUUCCGCCGGCGAGGGUAAAGGCGAUUUGAUGCAACAUCUUAGCUAUCAGGUGAGAAAACCGUCCGGAAGUCCCCAGGGAGUCCUGAAUUUCGCUUUUCGAUUUGGGGAAAAUUCCAACUCCGGACCGGUUAAACCGGAUCAGAUUCAUUCUCACAACCCGGUUCCCACCUACCCGCCGCUGGAACCGAGUCCGGUCGCCGUCUCUCACGGUGGGGGUUAUCCUCCGCUACCGGAGCCGAGUCUCGUCGCCAUCUCUCACGGUGUGGCUUAUCCACCGCCACCGUCUCUUCCUCCGCAGCCAGAAGUUCAUUCUCAGCCUUCGAAUUUGUAUCCGGUCCUCCCUCCGAAAUUGGCGGAACCGGAGAUUGUAUUUACUGCAUACCCGCCGCCGCAGCCGGCGGCUGUAUAUAGCGUGUACCCUCCCUGUACGUCAUACCACUCAUACGCGCCGGCCCCGACAUACAGCGCGUACGCGCCAGCACCGACUCAACAACCAGGGUACGGAUACAAUCAUGUACCGCCGCCACCAACGACAGCGACGUAUGGGUACCCACCGCCACCAACCUACGUAUAUCCGCCGCCACCGUCGUAUUACCCACCUCCGAUGCAGAAUAAGAAAAGCAACAUGGGGUUAGGAUUGGGAGCUGGGUUGGUGGGUGGAAUGUUGGGAGGGCUUUUGAUCGGAGAUAUGGUGUCGGACGCCGCGGACGGUGGAUUUGGUGAUUCUGGUGGAUUUGACUUCUGAUUGAAACGAUGCCGUUCUGCGUAUUUGUUUUGUAUCUCCCCCAAGAGUUGGUUACCGUUUUGGUUUGUGCAAAAUUCAACCUUCUUUCACCUUUUCUUUUUCUUUCCUUUUUUUUUGUAUAUGAUGAACAUUAUUUCUUUUAUUAUUUUGUUUUGUUUAUGUUUCUUCUAAAGGUAAAUUUUUAUUUUUCUUUCUAUUAGAAUGGUUGGUUGUGAAUUAGCAUUGGUGAUUUGAUUGGAACAACAACAACACUCUUUUUCUACCCCUCGAUUUGAUUGGUACAAAAUCCAAGAGUUGAAUUAAGGUGGAGAAUUUUAACACAUAAUCACACUCUUUUUGUUUAAUACCUUUUUUUAUAAUCUAAUUUUGUGUCUUAACAUACUUCUAAUAAAUUUUACGUUUUACUUGGGUUAUGAAUUAAAAAUGAUAAUAUCUUAACUAAGUUAUAUUUAAAUUGACAAUAAAUAAAGAACUGUUCAUGAACCCUAAGCUAUAAGAAAAAUAAUAAAAACAAAAGAGUGAACUAAGUUGAUGAAAGAACUAUCAAAAUUCAAAUUAGUCAAACAUAUAUACACUCUUAGAAGACAACAUACAUAGAGAAAUUUUAAAAAGAAAAGAAGAUGAUUUUCUUUUUCUUUAUUAUUAUUAUUUGUGGUGACAUAAGGAAGAAGUAAUGGUUGAAUAUGAGGCUUGAGGAAGAAUUUUGAAGGCAUAAGAAGGAAUACAAUAUCUUGAAGAACUCAUGUGUUUGACUUAUUAAACUAUCUAUUCUAACCUAAUAGCUUUAGUAUAUGUGAAUAUUUCGUUACUAAAUUUUUAUGUUAGUAAAUAUCAGUGAGUCUCGUCUUAAUAUGGCAUACAAAAAAGUAUAUAAUAUGUUGACAUAACACGUAAUAAAUAGAUAAAGACUAAAAAUAAAAACGUUUCAAAUGUGGUGAUUGUCUAAUUUAUAUGUAGAUUGAGUAAUUAAGAAGACAUUGUUCUUCUUACCAUUGAAAUGUAAAAGAAAGAUAAAAAUAAUUUUUUGUCUUAGAUUUUAGAUACAGUUUCUAUUUUCGGUUUGAAACGUUUCAUGUUUAGCAACCAUGGUUCAAAUUGCAUUAUGAAUUCAAUAGGUACAUUUUUAAAAUGCUAUAAUUUUAUCUUUCAAUUUUGAGUUGUUUUCAAUUUAAUUUAUAAAUCGAGGUUUUGAGUUUUAUACUUUUAACUCUAAACGACGUUCACUCUCAACUUUUAACAUUAAUAUCAAGUAAUUAAUUUAGAGUUACUAGUAAUUAAGUUUCCUUGUUUCUUUUCGUCACUAUUAAAAUUAGGUUUAAAAUCUCACGUCAUAUUUAUUUGAAAUUAAUUAAUAGACAUUAAUGACAAAUUUUAAAUUGUAUUUAGUAAAAAGCGAUUAAAAUUGAAAGUAUAAAUUUUUUACCAAUUUAAAACAAGACUCAAAUUUGUAAUGUGACAACUUUCUUUUUUGGAAAAAAAAACUAUUUCGUAGAGUGACAAAAGUUUUACAUUAACGACAAAUAGAGACUAAAAUAUAACAAAAUACACGUUUAGGGAUCAAUGUACGAAUUUAAUCGUAUUGUUAUUAUUAUUUUCCACGAGGUCAUUAAAUAAUUUUUUAGAAUUGAAGACUCAAGAAUGGAAAUACCAUUCAUUGACUAAAGUUAUUUGAAAAGUAUAUUAAAGAAAGCUAUUAAAAAUAAUUAGACAUAUCUUGCAUAAUUAUUAUUUUGAUGUAAAAUAUGUUAUAAAUAGCAAACAAAAAUAUUUACCAAAAUAGUUUUAAUAUUUUACAUUUUUUAAAAAAUACCCGGAAAACGUUUUUUAAAAAUAUAUUUGAACAACUAUUUCAAGAACAUAUUUGCAUUGUUGUAACGCAAUUGUAAUGUAUAACACUUUUACCGCUGAUAAUAAUCAAACAUAUGAUUUUUUUUAAAGAAUUAUAAAUAUAUAAAAAAUUAUAUUGACGAUAGACUCUACCAUUAAUAGGCUCUAGUUAGCGAUGAAUAAUUUUUUUGAGUUUGAUCUAAAUUUUGCCAUAUUUGAUAUUCUUUUUAAAAAUUAUAUAAUUAUAAUAUAUCUAAAAAAAAUUGAGUGUUAUUAUUACAUUUGUAUUUGUCUUGUUGCUUUAAUUUAUUCGAGUAUGUUUGGGUUGAAAUUCAUAUCUCUCUUUAUACGCACAUGUAAAUACUUUUACUUCUAAAUUAAAACUAUAAUGCAUUUGUUAAACAAUUUUUUAAAAAAAAUGUUCAACUCAAUUUCAACCGUGAUUUUUAAACCUCUAAUAUAGUGAAAAUUCUCCUUUCGUAACUCUUUUUAAUGUCUUAAAAUUAAAAUUAUCUCACAAAAGUUAAAAUCUAAAACCGUAAAAAUAAAAAUAGUUAUCAAGCUAAUAGUUUAUCACCAUAUACUUAAUAAAUUGUUCUAAUAUAACGACUACAAAAUGAAAACUUGAACAUUUAAUCUCUAAAAUAGGUUAUAUUAAUUACCGUUGAACUAUACUCACUUUAACAAUAUAUUAAUAAUUUUAAUAUUGUUUUUAGGUAAAAUUUUAUAAAAAAUAUUUUUAAUUCCAAAUAUUUAGAUACACAAUUAUAUUUUGUUUUUAUCAUAGUAAAAUAGAAACUAAAUUAUAUAUUUUAGUGAUUUCAAAUGUUAGAAGAGAAAAACAAAGUUAAUAAAAUGGGAAAGAAGAAUAAAUAAGAAAGACCCUUCGCGAAUUUAAAUCCAUAAAUUUAUUUCGUUCAUUUGACGCAACUCUAAAGUUUGAUUUGAUUUGAAUACUAAUUAACGAUGAUGUUGAUAUCUAUAACAUUCUCAAUCGUGCAUCUCUAAUUAAUAAUGACAUUACUUCUAACCAAAAUUUUAAUUAAAUUUUAGGGUUAAUUUUUAAUUAGUUAGACCUCCAUGUCAUGAUAAAAAUAUUAAAUCUUUUCUUCUUCAAAGAUUAUUUUCUUUUUUAAAAGAAUUUGUUGAAAUUUACAUGGAGUAGGUGAAAAUUUUAAAAGCAAAGAAGACUUGGGAAAGGAAAAGGAAAGUCGUGUAAUAUAAAUUUAUAAUAAGACCAAUCGACACCUUAAUUAAUUUAUGUUAACAUAAACGAAUAACUCAAAUGUCAUGAAACUUAGCUUAUCAUUAAUAUCUAUUAUCGAGUUAAAAAAAGUGUCCAUAUCAACCCGUUGACAAAUAUACUCAAAAUAAAAUAAUAGUUAUUUUGUAUAAGAUAUUUUAAGUCUUGAAAUAAGUUUUAUAUCUCAAAUUAGUUUAAAAUAAUUACAGCAACAAAUAAGUUUAUACGAAUUAAAUAAAUACUUUGUCGAAUUUCUUCGAUAAAAUAUUAAAUUUUUUAAGUUUUUAAGGAGUGACAUCAGAAAAUAAAUUUUGUUUAAAAGAAUAUAUUUAAUUUUUUUAUAAAAAAUAUUUGAAGUCCACUUUUAUGGUAUAAAACAAUAGUUAUCAAAUUUAUAGUUACUACGAAUAACAAAUAAUUUUGCCUAAAUUACGGAAAUUAUUAGUGAUUUUCAUUUUUAAAAAACCACAAUUCACUUUCUAAAAUUGAUUGAUGUUUCAUAAAACUUUCAAAAUUACCACUUAAACAACGGUUUAUUAAAAUGUUGAACGAAAGUUGAGAUUUGAAAUAAUGGGAUGACAUUCCAAAGUGAAAAUUUUAGUUAAUUUUAAUGGUUUUGAAUUACAAGAAAAAAAAGUAACAUUUUGCAUAAAUAAGAGUAUUUCUAAUUUAAUUUCUUUUAAAACGUAGUCUAAAACGUUUUCAUUCUUUAAUCUAUACGAACUUUUCUAAUAUAUAUAUUAGGUACACGAUUUGAUAAUUGGAGAUAGGAAUAGAAAAAGUUUAGAAUAUAUUUAAAGUACAAGUAGGAGUCGGGAGAAAUAAGAAAGGAAACACAUGCACAAAUUUACAGCUAUUAAUAAAGUUUCUUACUAUAUAAUGUGAUAGUAUGUUUGUAAGAUCUUUUUGCUUUUAAUGAUUCAUUGUAGUUUUGUUGACUUUCAAUCUUGCUUUGGGGACUUUGGAGAAUUGGCAUAAGAGCUUGACCAAUGAAAAAUAACGACCAACUAUAUGAACAAAAAAGUGAAGAUUUAAAAGUUAAUCGUUAAAGAUUCUAAUGCUUUCUUAAAUUGUCCAGAAGUAAGUUUGUUUAGAGGAUAUUGACAUGAUCAUAAUUGACAUAACAAUUGAAUCUCAACAUUUAUAAAGAUGCUAAAAUUUGAAACUCAAGCUUAUAAUAAUAAUAAAAGUUUGAUUUACAAAUAAUAGGAACGAAUCACUAAACUUAUAUAAUCAUUAAAAUUUAUACAAUUAAGGUUAAACUUAAUUUUAUAAUUUGAGAAAGUUGAAAUUGAUUUUGAAAGUUUAAAACUAUAAUUAUAGUUGUGUAUGUGUGUUUUUUUUUUUUUUUUUUUUUUUGCAUUUUGAUCCUUUUCUAAAAGAAAAUAAUAAUUGAUUUUAGAAUUUAGUCCCCAAUUUGAUAAAAUUCACAAAUCCUCCCUUCAAGUUGUGAAAGAUAUUUACAUAUAAAGUCAUAAACCCUAAAACCUACAAAAUUCUCCGCGUCACCGCUCACGCCUUCUUCUCCGAUCGGCGACGAUGAGGCCUUUAGACGAGCAAGAGACCACCGUCGUGUUCGAAAAGCUUCACAAAUUCACAGGUAACAACCUCAAGAACAUCGUCGAGAAUCCCUCUCACGAGGGCACCGAACCAAAUCCCGGCCGCUACUGCUUUCGCCUCCACAAGAACAAGGUCUAUUACGUCAGUGACUCCCUCGUCAAGCGAGCUACCAACGUAGCCCGCUCCAACCUCGUCUCUCUCGGAACCUGCAUCGGAAAGUUCACUCAUGGCGGCAGUUUUCAUCUCACUGUCCAGUCAUUAGGGCUAUUGUCCCCCAAUGCCAAGCACAAGGUUUGGCUUAAACCAACCUCCGAGAUGUCCUUUCUGUAUGGAAACCAUGUUUUAAAAGGCGGCUUAGGACGGAUUACUGAAAAUAUUGUUCCCGGUGAUGGGGUCGUCGUGUAUUCUAUGUCGGAUGUGCCUUUGGGAUUUGGAAUUGCGGCAAAAUCCACGCAGGAUUGUAGGAAAUUGGACCCAAAUGGGAUUGUGGUUCUACACCAAUCGGAUAUUGGAGAGUAUUUGAGGAUGGAGGACGAGCUUUAAAGAAUCAAGGAUGAAGCUGAAUUGAGUUUAUUGGGAAUCGGCUUCCUGUUCCAGGUAUACUCCAGUUGUUCUUGCAAAGUUUGUUGAUCAAUAGGAUUUUGAGCUCAAAUUGAUAUACUGUUUUAGGCAUCAAGUCAAUUUUGUAUCUUUUGAACACCAUGGUGUUGAGAUUUGUCUCUUUAAUUAAGUGUUUAAGUUAGGUGAAUGAUGAAACUAUUGCUCUAAUCCGAGCUAUCUAAUAUCAUAGAGAUAAGAUUGUGCUUAUUCUUUGCUGCAAACUAACAGUUUCUUUUUUUUUUAUGAUAGUAUUGAAUAAUUAUCUCUGAUGGGCUGUUGUUAAUCUACUUUGACAAGCACUGGAAAUUUGGUUUAGUUGUGUGUGCUUAUUUUUGUAGCAAGAUAUCGUCUUCCCAUUUUUUGUAUCAGUUAUUUCUAUUUGCACGUAAGGCCAAUACGUACAUUUAUUUGAUCAUCAAUACUUUUGGCGAAUUGAGCUACAAGGGUCUUCACUAGAAAUGAGUUUCCUUUGUUAGGCUUUAAGCUAGGCUCCUUUAUGCGAUGGCGGUUUCUAAGGAUUUGUGUAAUAUCUUAGAUGAUUAGUUUUCUUCUUCUUCUUCUUCUGUCUAUGGUUUAAGUUUCUGUUUGGGGUUCAUUUGGUAACUCUGUUUGUAUUAUCUAAUUAUUCUCAUUGAGAAGUGCGGUUUUUCAUAAAAGAAGAACUAGAUUCAUUCAUGCUCUGUUUUCUACGUGUUAAAGACGAACUGUUUACACUGUAGGAGUCUGGCUGAGAUAGGUUUAUCGGUUGGGUUGUUUUGAUGGGCUUUGUUUUCUUGUAUGCUAUUGUGUUCUUUCAUUUUUUUUUCUUCUGAAUGAAUGUUGUUUAUAUAUAUAUAUAUAUAUAUAUAUAUAUAAUCUACCUACUUGUCGCUUGCAAUAUGCACUACAUGCAUAAAUAGGGGACUCUGUAAUUUAUACUCAAUACUUUCCUAAGCACUUAAUGAUCCAAAUUUUGUCAUCCGUAUCAUCUCAGUCUUUAAACUUGAAUGAAGGGCAGAAUUUUUUAUGGGUGGCAGUUAUGAGCCAACGUUUUGGUUGUUGUUAGAUGGGGUUAUUUCUUUUGGUGGUUUGGUUUUUCUUACAGUGCUAGCUAGUUAGUUAGGUAGUUUUUGUUGUUGGUUUAUUUAAGAUUGAGGGCUUUUUUGCCGGCGGUGUGUUAUUUCAUUUUUUCACUCAAUUUUGUGAGUAGAUUCAAAAAAAAAAAACAUUUUGUGAGUAGAUUCAAAAAAAAAAAAAAAUUCAACAAAAAAUUCUAUUAGGGCAAACACUACUCAAGUUUGGAAUUAGUGUUAUUUGUUAUCUAAACUUCCCAUAGCACUUUUUGGAACUGAAAAUUUAAAACAUUGGUCUAAAAUGAUCGUUUGACCCCUAGUUUGUUAACAUUUAGAUGAUUAGGUGUUGACUGGAUUGUUAAUUUGUCCAAAUGUGUUGAUUUAGUAAUAUUUUUGAGUGAUUUUUCUCUCUUCUCCCUUUCUUCCUAACUUCAACAAACCUUGUGGCCGCAUGCCUUCUUUGAAAGACAUCGCUGCUAUCUUUGAACGAUUGUUAGGUGCCUUCAUUGUUCAUUUGUCUUGAACUAGAACAGUAGUUCUUGUUUGUUCUAGAUUUGUUUGGAAUGGAGGAGGAUCUGCCUAUAACUGGACCAAAGGUGAUCCUCUACUUCAUUUUACACUAAAAUACUGAAUUCAGAUUAUAUGAACCUAAAUUUUCCAUGAUGGUUAAUAUCAAGAGUAAAGAAAAUUUGUUUCUAGACUUUGUUUUGAAACACUCUACAACAUAGCUUCAUUCAAAAACUAGAUGGCUAUUGUGAUACAGCAUAGUUGACUUUAUUAAACCAACAAACUAAAGUGCCCUAGGUGUGGAUUUAGAUAAGGCUCAGCCCUUCUGCUCUUUAUUUAUUUAUAUACAGAAGCAACCUAGAAAAGAAAUGUUGAAAUGACUUGAAAAACUAAAACUUGCAUGAUGGUGAAUAUGAAGUCCGAAGUUGAGAAUUGUACUUUAGGUUGUUGGUAUUUGUAACUUCUCAAGAAUGAAUGAAGCUUCAUCAAAGUAGUUCAAACUAUUGUUCCGUUGAUUGAUUGAGAUUUCCUUUAAAUGAAACUUGAGAUGCAUUAUCCUAAGUCUGAUACAUUUAAUGCAACUCUUCCUUGAAGCUUUACUUCCAUCAUUCUUGAAGUAUUUUUUAGUUGAGUUCACCAAAGAUUGAAGAUGAGUAUCACUGCUUAUCGAAUUUUCUAAGCCCUUAAUCCUAGAUUUUCAUCAUCAAUACUAUUCCAAUAGGGAAACUGCAGCCUAAAAUCUGUUUUCUCAUAUCAUUUUGGUUUAAAAUGGGCUCUUGGGCUUCGAAUAUCUUUCUUAUUCAUUCCCCCCCUCCCCCACGAAAAAGAAUAAAGAGAUAAAUACAAUUAGGUUAAGUAGAUAAGACACUUGGGUCGAUUAAUUUGAUCAUCAUUUGCCACUUUAUUAAAGUCCAAAGAAAAGAAAAAUAGAAAACAAACAAUGACAAAAACCUACCAAACACAAAAAUAAAUUAAAACAGACAUGAUUAGAAAGAACCCACCAAGAAAAACUCUUUUGGAUCUUUAAGAGAGGCCCUAGACUAGGUGAAACAACAAAGAAAAACCUUAGAUUGUUUAGUCAAAGUAAUCACUCGAAAAUGACUUAAAAUGUAACGUGUUUGCCAAAUAUGCAAAUUUCAACAUUUCAAACCUUGUGAUAAUUUGUUUUUGCAAGGAGAAAAUUAUUCAAAUUAAACCAAUUAUAUUCUAUUUCCAUCAAACUAAUUUGAUCACUUCCCAAGGAAUGGGUUUCAAUUUAAUUAAUGAACCAUUCUUACAAUAAAUUUUUUAAAGAAAAUAAAGCCCUAUCCCAAGCAAUCAGGUUGUUGACAGUAUACUAUUUUAGAAGAAUAUAUAUAGAUUGGUUAUCAAACAUACUCGCUCAAAAGUUAAUAUAUGGAAUUAAAAAAGAAGAAGCUAUUGAUGAAAUUACGAAGAACAAUGAAUUAAACACUUUUAAAUUUUAUAUAAUUAACAACGGAAUAAAUCCUUAAUUAAACCAUAGCUAAGAUGCUUUGAAGUAUAGACUUUAUUCUCAUAAACUUUAAUUUGUUGGAUUGGAUCCAUCUGUUCUAAACCCAAACAAAUUUAGGCAGAGCACCAAAAUCAACCAUCUCUAUGGAUUUGAAUUCUAUAUGAUUCCUUUCAUAAUAUAUAUACCAAAUUGAAAAUUACCAAAGUAUUCCUUUUUAAUUAGGCAGCCAUUCCACAAAACCCCAUAUAUACAUAUUUUAAAACAAUGAAUAGUUAGAGUUUUGUUUAUAUUAUAAAGUUUUACAAACCAUUUUGUUCAUUAAUUGUUUGAAGAGAGAAGGAAAAAAAGAUGCCAAAAACCUAAAAAAUUAUAGAGAAUAUAUAUAAUAAUAAUGUGUUGUCUUAAUUAGCUAGGAUCCCACUUACAUAUACAUUAUUGUUAUUAAUAAGUAGAGAAAAGAAAUAUUCUUAAUUGUUGUUUUUAAAAAGAGAAUUAUAUGUGAUUUAGCUCUCCUUUUCAAGUGUGCUUAUACAAUGCCUAAUGCCUGAUUAAGCAUAUUGAAACUCUUAUCCCAUCUUUGAAAUGCUAAUCAAUAUUUUAUAAUAAUAUCUUUUAUUUUGAUCUUUAAGUUUUGGCUUAAUUACUUUCAAUUUAGUUCUAGAAUUAAAAAUGUGAUUAACUAAUUUUGAAUAAAAGAUUGGAAGGGUGUGCAUUUAAAGGUUGUUGUUGGAGAGGUAAAAAGUGAUUAAAAGUAACUUUUACUGCUUUUAAUAGUGGAUAAAAUAGAUUGAGAUUAUUAAAUAUGUUAAAAUCACUUUUAUACAAAUACGUUAAUUGCACAUCUUUUAGUAAAUUGUCACACAUUUUAUAUAAGAUGCUUGGACCUUGUUGCAUAAAAUGCCCUUGAUAAUUGAAUCAUACUAUUAAAUUUUUACCAAUCUAUGAUUAAUAAUUUUUUUUUAAUUAAUAAGUUUGUGAGAAUUAGUAAACAAUCUUCAACGAUCAAAUUGAAACCUCGAGAUUUUAAACUUUGAAAUGCACGUCAUUCUAAAUAUGGUACUAAAUUGCUAGCAUGAACGUACCUUAUUAACGCGGUUAUAUAGUUAAGGUUAAAAGUUCGAUUUUCUAACAACAUGCUUUAAUCACACUGCCUUUUCACAAAAUAAGAAAACAAAAGCAAACCAUGAAAUUCUUGAUUGAGUAAUAUAUAUGUUUGUGUGUGUGUGGAUGGAUGGAUAUUGAGAAAAUAUUGAAUGUAUACAUAGUUACGUGAGGAAUUUAUAAAAGCAGAAAAUAAGAUAAAGAAUAUAUUCAAAGAUUUUAGUUUUCUAUAAGUUACGUUUCUAUUCCCUUUUGAUGACCUAAGUCCCAUUGGGUAAAUAAAUAUAUCAAUUGUGUCGUCAUUUAAAAAGUGAGAAAUGAAAAUAAAAUUUUGAAAAGAAAAGUCAUUCUUUAAUGAUUUCGACAUUUCAUACUUCCUUUUUAUAAAACAAUAUGUUGAAAUUAAAAUCAAAAUUCAACCAAAAUAAUGGAGGGGUUUCAAAUAUAACCUAAACAAAUCAAAAUACGAUAAAAAUUUUGAUCUAUCAUUCAUAAAUUAUGACGAUUUUACGUUACAAAAAGAAAAUGUAAGUGCAUGAUGACAUAAUAUAAAAAAAUUUAAUUUUUGAACUGUGAGGUUUUUUAAAUUUUUAGUUUUGUGACUAAUUGAUUUCUAAAUAUAUUCAAAAUUUUAAAAAGUUGGUUGAUUUGUUAGGUGUAAAUUUAAAAUUCAUGUAUAUAAAUAUCUCGUUUUACAAUAAUUUCUUCUUUAAUUAGCAAGUGGAAAGAAAUGUUUAUUUAGAAACUACCUUUCCCUAGUUUUUUAAAAUGUUAAUUAAAAUUUAGUUCUUCUAAUUUUAAAAGUUAUUUAUUUAGUCCAUAUAAUUUGAUUAAAUCUCAUAUAUAGUUAGGAAGUUAUCAAAUCAUAGAAAUUAAAUUCCAAUUAUAAAUCAUGAAAAUUAAAUUUGUAACCUUUUUUUCAAACCAUUGGCAUACAAACUUUGUAAUUUGAAAAACAUCGAGUGAAAGUAAAUAAUACAACAUACGAUUUUAAUUAUAUGUGAAAGUAGAGUUUAUAUAGUGCAUAAUUUAGAAAAAUAAAAAACAUCAAAUAGUUAUCAAACUAAACUUAUAGAACUAUUUUGAAGUUGAUUUUCAAACAUAUAUGAAAUAGGUUUAGGUGUGUAUCUAACAUGAAAUCAUAAGUUUAACAAAUUAUUAUUAGAUACAUUAUACAAAUUAAAAUUGGAAGAUUGAGUUAGAUAUUUUUUUAAAAAAGAAAGUUUAAGAGUCAACUAUGGGUUUAAAUAGGAAAAGAGAGAGGAGAAAUUAGGGUAAGUGAUAGUGGUGAGGGGAGAGGAUGGGUAUCACAUGGGCAUGUCAAGAGAGAUUUGUUUAAAGCAAAGCCAUGGUUGUGAAAGUUGGUCGGUUUUAGACAUAAAUGAAUAUUUUGUAACCCUAAAUGUGUAACAUCUUUACUAUUCAAACCAAAAUAUACUUUAUUGUAAAAAGUUUUUGUCCUUUUUUCUAUACAAAUAUUUAUCAUAUUUUUAUUAGCCCUCAAUCACAUUUUUUUCAAUCUUCUUUCUCGAACCAAUAUAAAAGAAUAUAGAGGAGAAAUUCUGUGAACUUUCUAUUUUAAAUUUUACGGACUUUGCAAUAUAAUUAAUAUCGUCGAGAAUGUGUUGCAUGAACAAUGAAUGAAUAAAAGAGAAAACAACAUUUUAAAAUUUUGUUUCGUAAUUAAAUCAUUCAUAGUUUUAUAACUAUAUCAAAAUAAAUUUGGUUGGGUUAGUAAUUUAAUUGUUUGGAAGUGACUUGUGGACCUAAUGGCAUAAGCAAAGUUGAGAGAAUUUCACUUUUCUUGUCUCACAUUGAAGGAAAUAAGAGAGUAUAAAUAUCAAAAAGUUUAAGUGGGAAACAAAGUAUGUUGGUGGUGAUUACAUAACUCUAUCACUACGUGCUUGCUGCAACGGUCAUCCAUCUAGGUGGUUCGCGUAAUUGCACUAGCAUGAAUGAAAGAAAUAUUUUUAAUUACCUUUCUUUUUGUAUUUUGAAAAACUGAUUCGGUAUUAAUUAAUUUUCUCGAUUGACCUGACGUCUCCGGACUUGGCCUUUUGGAUCACCGAAAUCCAUCUCAUCUCAAUCUCUCGAAACCCAUCUUUGUCAUAUCCUAAAAAACAUCUUUGUUUCUAUUCCUUGUUCCUACGAGUGUACGUCUGAAUAGGAAAAACUGCGUUAAUCUUGGAGAGCAACCAACAACACAAUUGACACUUCAAUCAAUCUAUUUUUGUUCGAUAUUUGAUUUUAUUUUAUCACAAUCCAAAAGUAAUUAAAAGCAACGUGAAUGGAAAAUUCCAACAUUAAUUUGAAAAAUUAAAGUACCCCAGUAUUUUUAAAAUCCUAGGAAAAUAUGUAGAGCAAUAUUAUUUUACUAUCAAAUUAUUAACAUCUAGCAAUAUCAACUUUUAGUAUAGGUAAAAAUUGUCUCUUUCUUUCUAAGAAAAAAAAUUAACUUUGAAAGAUAUAUAUAUAUAUAUAUGAACAAUUUGGUUGUAGACCUAAUAUACCAAGAAUAUUAGGUACUCCAUAUAUGUGUCCGUAGUGUUACUUAAUUAACUUAUUAAAUUGAUAUUUCCAAUGUAGAAGAAACGUAAUACGUAAGGUUAAUUACAUAUUAAAUCCAUAUUAAUUUUUGCUUUAUAAGAGAACUUGAUUCAUUUAAAUCUAUGGAUUAUUAUUCCAUGUAGAGUGGACAAAACCCAAUCUAAUAUUCUACCCAUCUUUCAUUUUAAUUCAUCCUUACAAUCACCUUAAAAUUCUUGGAUAAUGAUUAUGAUUUUGUUAAACAAUUAAAAACCAAAAUCACAUCACCAUGAGUUGGUUAGUGGUAAAAUAACAAGAACAAAGAUCAAGUCAUUUGUUAAAUGUAUGUAUAUGUAUUCUACUAACUUUCUUAACACACCAAAUGAAUUAUACGAUCAUGAAUUAUAUUGUUUGUAAAAUUAGUCGACAUUCACUUAUAAGUUGACCUAUACAUGCACGGCGGACCUCGCACACACAUAAAAUGGUUACAGUUGUUAACCUAUAGAAACAGCUAAACUGUUACGUGACACAAACUAAAUUAUGAGACUGUCCUUGAAGGUGGAAAGAGGGGGAACAAAUGGAGAAAUGGGACAGGGUGUGAGCCAAAUGGACAAAUGAAAAGAAAGAAAUAGAUAUAUAAUAUAUUGUGAAGAUGAUUAUAUGUAUAGGGAAUUUAUAUAAGAGAUGGUGGGGACUGGGGGUGAGUGUGUAAUGGAAUUGGACCCUUUAGAUACCUGAAGAAGAAGCAAAAAUGAACAAAGACUAUGAUGACUUCAAUUCAUCUUUUGGUUGCCCCUAAACACUCAAUUAUGUUUUGUCCCUUUUAAACUUCAACUACUUUCUUAAACUCAAACCACACAUUUUCUCCCCUUCAAUUAGCUGUUGGAAUAUGAUCUCUCUCUCUCUCUCUCUCUCUCUUUUCCUUUCUUUUAUCAUUAUGCCCACCUUUCAAUUUUUAGGGUUUUCUUUUGCUCCUUUGUGGAUGGACAUUAGCCACUUUCAAUACCUUUUUUCUUACAUGUGAGAGAAUAUAUUUGAAAUCGAUCCAAUUCAGUAUUUAAUUUGUCUGUUCAUUUCUAGUAGUUUCUUGAAGAUGAUGCGUAUAUGUAAGGUGAAUUGUUAGAACGGAAUAAUAAUAUUGUUCUUUAUUCUUGGAUAAAACUUAUAAACACUCAAUUGAUGUGAACACGCACGUUCUAUCAACUUCAAAGUUUCUUUUGUUGUCUUUUUUAGUAUAAGUUAGGGGAAAGAAUUUGAACAUGAAAUCACUUGAUUCUCAAUUCUCGAUAUAUACAAGUGUCAGUUGAGUUAAGUUAUCGUUGUUUUUUAGGUUUUCUUUUUCCUCACAUAUUAUCACAUUAAAAUUAACAAAACUAAUAAAUACUUAUACUUUUAUAUUAUAUAAAUGUCUCGAACGUGAGGUCAAGUUAUGAAAAAACUAAAAUGAAAAAAAUAUAUUUCUUAAACUUUUUAUCAUUGAAAUUUAGCUCUGAAUUAUUUGGAUGUUAAUUUUCAGAAAAGAUGAAAACAUUUAUUUUCUUAAAAGAAACAAAUAGUUAUUUUUGCUUGCUUUAUUAUAUGUAUUUAUUUAUUGUAUUGAAAUUAUUUAGUUUGUAAAAUUAGAAUAUGAUUUAAAUUACAAGGUGUCGUGAUUACUACAAUAUUUAUAUAUAUAUACGUUUGACAAUAUUAAUAAAAAAAAAUCACUAAUAAUUUAUAAAAGUAUAUAGAAAAAAGGUAGAAAUUAAAUUAAAAGUAAUUUUGGAAUAAACAUAAAUAGUUACAUCAUAUAUUUUAAUAAAGAAGCAAUAAUAUCUGUUUUUGGAAACAAUAUAUCAAAUAUCUUUUGAAGAAAAUUUUGAAAAAAAUUUGAAGACAAUAUAGAUUGAUGAUGAUAUAUAUAUAUAUCAAUUCCUCCCAAUAUUAUCAUUAUUCAAAUAUUCAAAUGACUUAGAGAUAUGCAUUGCAAGACUGCACUGCAUGUACACAUGUGUCCAUAGAAUAUAUAUAUAUAUAUAUAUAUAUAUACAUAUAAUCCAAAUUACAUAUUCAUUUUUAAUAUAAUUGUAUAUUUACAAAAAUUAAAGGCAAAAAAAGUCAGCAUAUAAAAUUCCAUUUGUAUAAUUUUUAUUCCCCAUCAGCCUUGUUCAAUAUUUGAAAAUAAAAACAAUAUACAAUUAAUGACUCGUUUAGUAAUCAUGUAGGUCUUCGAAAAUAAUAUAUUGGAUCUAAUUUCUAGGUCUCAAAUAUAUAUGUUUCGAAAUAUUUAUAACACGUUAAUAUUACCAUUUCUUAAACAGAGAGCAAUAAUAUUUAUUGAAUUAUUUUUCCUUUUUAAUUUCUUUCCUUAUUCUUUUUAUAUGUUAGUCCCUAAUAUUAAAUUAAACUAAGUUAAUACUUAAACUAACAUAAUGUCUACAUCACAUCUUACUUCCAAUAUUUUAUAAUUAAUUAUAAUAAAAUAGUAUUAAAAACAACUCUCCAUUUUUAGAAGAUAUAAUAUUAAAUUCUAAUCUUCACAUUUUCAUAAAUUCAAUAUCAAUAUUGACACGAGAGGUAAAUCGAAUAUAUAAAGUAAGCGAUAAUUUACCACUAAUUGUGAACAUAAUAUACACAAUAAAUAAUUUCUCAUUCAAGAAGAAAAAAUUAUUUACUUACUAUAUAUAAUAAAUAAUGUCCAAUAUAUACCAUCCUUUUACUAAGUUUGAAUGUAUUUGUACAUGGUGUCUACAUGCCAUACAAAUAUACAUUAUUAGUGUUCCAAUAAGCUCACCAUCUACUCACCAAAUUACCUGUAUUUUAUGGUGGAAAAUUUUAGAUAAAAUUUGAUUAUUUGAUUAUUUCAUAAUUUGUUAUAUUUAAUUAAAAAGGUUUGGUAAUGGUAAUUCCAUUAUUGAAAGGUACAUCCACAGAGAGGAAAACAUAAAGUGGGAAAAUAUAAUUGUUGAGGGAAUACACACAAACACAUAAAAGACAAAGAUUCCCACGUGUGGGGUUUUGAAAAAGAUAUUUUUUUCUUCUUCUUUUUUUUGAAAGUCUUUUGGAAUUUUGUAAUAUAAAUGGAUUCCCCAUAUCCGAUAAUUAAAUACCCUAUAGAUUUAAAAACAAUGACAAGUUUUCUUUUUUCUUCAUUUCCUAAAAUAAUAUGUCCCUUCUCAAAUUCGUAUCAAUCAUCAAUUGUUAGGUCUAGUAAUAAACUUUUUAAAAAAAUUUAAAAUACAAACCAAAGAACCUUUCAUACUUACCUAAGAACACAACUUGUUAAUAUAUUUAAUUUUACGAGUUUUCAUUGCUUUUUUUGUUUAUACUAUAUUCUAUAUACAAUAUUAAAUCCUCCUUUAUUCUAACACAAUCAACAUAUUCAAUUAAUCUUCUUAUUCUAUAUUCGUUAGAAAGUUUAGACGGAAUAAAUUAAAUUAAAUUAAAUAUAUUUAUAACGAUCGCAUACCUAAAAUUUAAUAUUCUAAAUGUUAUAUUAAAGUGUGUAAAAUGUUUUUGAAGUAAAAUGCAUAUUUAUAUCAAAUACAUUUAUAUAACUUAAGAUAAGAUGUAUAUUUAAGUAUUUUUCUUAUUUUCAAUUACUUAAAAAUUUAACUUCUUUUUUUCUCUGUUGAAUUUUUUUAAUCCUUCUUACGAAACUUUUUGAGACCCCACUUCACAUUAGCCUCCAUAUCCUUUGAAGAAAACAAAAACAAAAACAUGGCACAUUAAAGUUUGUUCUUUUGCCCAAAGGAAAAAAAGAAAAAAACUCACUUUCUCUCUUACUUCUUCUCUUCUCCUCUCUCCCUAUAUAUAUAUAUAUAUAAGUACACAACCUUCUCACCAAAUCAAUCCCUCCAUUAUUAUUCUCCAAACCCAAAGAACCAACCAACGUCCAAUUAAGUGUACAGUGUGAAAGAAAGGUAAUAAAAUGUCAGGUGUUUGGAUUUUCGACAACGGCGUGAUCCGGCUAGUGGAGAGAGCAGGUGCAGCAGAGACGACGACGUCCGGGGGAUCAGGGAAAAGAAAAGUUCUGAUAUACACACCAACGAACGAGGCGAUGACAUCGUAUGAGGUGCUAGAAAACAAGCUAUCAAUGUUGGGAUGGGAAGUGUACUAUGAAGAUGGAGAGGUUAUGCAAUUUCACAAACCAUCGUCUGUGGAUCUAAUUUCACUUCCUAAAGAUUUUAAUAAGUUGAAGGCUAGACACUUAUACGACAUCGUUGUGAGGAAUCGUAAUCUUUUUCAAGUUAAGGACAUGCAGUCCCACUAAUUGUAGGACCCCUAUACCCUUAACUAUUACUAUCUCUCUCUUUAUAAUUAAUGCCUUUUUUCUUCUUCUUCUUCUUCUUUUGAGAUGAUGUAGUUUGUUUGUGUGAUUGAUUAUUAUUGUGUUUAUGUGUGUGUUUGAAGGUAAUAAUAUAUAUAUAAUAUAUAUAUAUUGGGGGUGGUUUGAUUAUUAUGUAAAUUUUGUUGUUGAAAUUACAAUUCACAAUGGAAUUAAAUUAUAUAAAUUUGAAAUUAUUGUUUUUGAGUUUAUUUGAUUUGAUAAGUCUCUCCUUUCUCUCUUUCUCUCUUUUUUUUUUUAAGUAAAAAUAUAUUCGAAACCGAAAUCUCUUUUAACUCUAGAGUAUAUACAAGUAGUUAAACUCUUGUUGGUAUAUCUUUCUCUUGUUCUUGAUGUAUGGAAGAAUUUGUCUACCAUUUUUAAGAUACUACUUUUGUUUUAACAUAUAUUUGAGUUUUA
rnacentral:lncRNA from 1 species